UUUUGGGCUGAUAACUAAUAGAUUGCAGAGCAGAGACCCCUUAAACCAGUCUAAACCUUUUUAGAAAUUCAUUUGUAUAGCAAAUCUUCAAAUUCCUUUGAAGCCCAAGGAUGUGAGCUUCAUGAAAAGCAAUCCCUUGACUCACUUGGAAACACUAGGACAAGAGCAUCAGUAACAAAGUGCGAGAAUGAACUCAAACAGCAGAAGAAGAUCGAAGAAAGAAGAAGAGGUAUACAUUAACCUUCUUGUCAUACUCUUUUUUUCUGUCUUAUUUAGUUUGCUUUCCUGAUUGAUUCAAUUCAUAUACCUUCUGGUACAACUAUAUUAGCAACCCCAUGCUACGUACUACAUACCAAGGUUCGCAAUUUCGUACCAUACCGGCGUAUCGAGCUCAAUUCGAUAUGGUACGAUACGAACGUACUGAGCGGUACACUCUAGCAUACCGCUUGGUGUGUAUAUACAUAAUAUAUAUAAUAUAUUAUAUAUAUAUGUUAAAAAAUAAAAAAAGGGCGACAUCGUCUCAUUUCUUCUCCCUGUGCCCCGCGUGGAUAAGGAGAAGUCGCCAACAACGCCGAGGCCUCGUCGCCUCAGACAAGAAGGAGGCGACAUCUCAUUUACGGCAUCCGGCGAGAGAGUGCGACGAUCGAUCGGAAUUAUGGAAGGAGAGUGGUGGUACCGGAUCUCCAGGUUCUCCCUUUUCUUCUCCCUCUUUUUCUCCCUCUUCUUCCUUCUCCCUCAACUAAUACCGCUCGGUAGCCAACGGUGACAGUCAAAAUCGAUCGUUACCAAUCGAUUUCGAGGGCGGAAAUAGUCCCAAUCGACGGUACCGCCCGGUAAUAGGCAAUCCGCGUACCAGUCUGCUGGCAGACCGGUACGUACCGCCUGGUACGGGUGGAAUCAUUCAAAAUUAAAAUCCUUGCUACAUACUGCUCCUUCAUGGGUGAAGAUGCAAGAUAGCUAAUAAUACAAAAAAGAAACGUAGAGUAAAUUGGAUCAAUAGAGUAGGUCUUAAAACCACAAAUAAAAGUAAGAUGAAUAAGAGUAUGAGAUUGUUCUAGAGAAGAUUAAGAGUUAUGUUCAAUUUCAAAAGCAUAUCUCCAUAGAACCUCAAUUUGCUUAUGACAACAAUCCUCAAGAUUUUCAAUCUAGCACAAAGUUUGAUUUUACGUGAUUUGAUUUGGGAAAGAAAUGCAAAUUUAUAAGGAUAUGGUACACAAGAUAGUUUAGUGUUAGUGAAAGAAAACUCCCAAUUAUUUGAACAAGCUCCAAUAUCACACUAAAAUCUGGCCUUAAAACUUCUAAUCAAUCCUCAAAAGAUGCAUAACUCAAAACUGCAUUCAAGUAGGCAACAUUUUUAUUUUCUAUGACUCUUUGUAGCCAAAGUGAGAAAGAAACAAGUUAUAUAAGGAUGAAAAAGUAGAGAAAGAACAGAAAGAAUACAAACUGAAGCUUCACUUUAAUGAAAAGUUCCCAGAAAGUAGAACUUUAUUUAUACAAUGGUACGAUGAAGAUGCGAUUGAGCAAUGAACAAUAUUUCUGAAGAUCAUUCCAAACAAAUUCUUUAUUUUAACAGGGGUUACACACAUGAAUAGGCCCAAAAGUGGCAAAUCUACAAAUUCUUGAAGGACAAAGGAAAUUGACAAGGCCAUCAUAACAUUGAUUAGAUUACACAUAGAAUGAUGAAACAGAACUCUUGCAUUAUCUAAAUGUUGUAAAAAUCUCAAUGUUGUAAAAUCUCUAAAGAAACAUUUCUUUUAUGCUUAUACUUUCAUUAAAAAUCCUAAAUGCUAAUAAAAAAAAUGAACACAAAACUCCAAAUUUACCUGCAGUAACUUGAGGAGUUGAUGGACAACACAGGAACUUUCUUCAAUGCAGAUGUCAUCUAACUUCCUAUAGUUUAAAAGCAAAUUGAGUUUAUAUUCAUGAAAGACAAAAUAUACAGGAUCAUCAAAAAGAGAAAAAGAAAAGCACCACAUAUCCUGACCUCUCAGGUGAUUCACUUUGUUUAACCGGGGAUUGUGAACUAAAAAUCAAAGCUAAGGACUUCAAUACAGGAAGACUCCAGAUAAGCAAGGAAACAUUUCUAGGGGGGACCCUGCUUUCUAGAAUCAGAUUUCCAUCUGUUUUAAACACAAUGAUAUAUCUCCGAAGUACUUUUCCCAAUAUUUUUAAAGCUCCCAUGUUAAGCAAUAAUGCCUGAAAAUUCAAAACAACUAGAUCAGAAUACUUUUUUCUUAUAACUGCUAACAAAGUGAAACUGCAACUGAAGUCACCUUGGCAUGGGGAUGCUCCAACAAGCUAGCAAUGAAAUGAAGCAACUGAUAUACCUGAAUAAUAGAUAAGGACAAAUUGUUGGAUCUCUUGAUCAAUUAAAAUAAAAUAAAAUUGAAGUUUUACCUUAAAAAUAUCCAUCUCUGAUGGGGAGGUUUCAUCGACAUGAUUAUCUAUCCAAGAAAUCAUUGGUUGCAAAAGGACAACUGCACAUUCUGCUCUUUGGGUGGCAACGCGAAUUAUGAAAACCCGAAGCAUAUCUUGUACAACCAUUAGGGCCUGUGGAAAACCAGCAAUUAAACUAUAAAAACUUAUUUCAAGCCGGCAGAAAACUUGGAAAAGUAGUACAAGAAAGAAAAACAUACAGAAAAGGCAAAAUGCAGAGCAAUUUGUGCAAUUCGAUCAAGUUGCGGUGUCAACUGAAUAAGCAGCACCAUUAGGUGUUCCGGCUUCAAGUACCAAUUGACGUCUUUUUCUACUUGAGGACCUAAUAAUGUUCCAACACUUAAUGUUCUAAGGGCACUCAAUGGUGGCAUUUCAUUUUUCCACGACCAGAUACCUUCAUCAGGAAAUAGAUCACCCUUCACAUGCAGAUGGAUUAUAUAAGUCAAUGAAUGUUAGAUGACAAAAGGGGAAUAAUAAAUUCAUUGUUAGAUCAAACAGGUACAAAGGAAAAAAAAAUCUAAAAAUAUGAGUCAUAUAAAGAAGCAGACCAAAAGGCAAAAGAUACUGCAGGCAUCCUUUGGACCCAAAGCUAGUGAAGACGUUGCCCGAACACUUUCAAGUACACAUUGAAACAGACCAGGUGUCCAAUCAAAGAUUGGCCAGCAUGCAAGUGCUGACGUAAGGAGAUGACAAACAGCGCCAAAACCAAGGGUCGAGCUAGGAUACGGAAAGGACAAAUCUGCGGCACUUGCUGCUAGUUUCAGGCUGUAAAAGUAAUGUUAAGGUUUAGAAUGCCACAAGUUGCAAUGGAAAAAACAAUAAUACACAAUGUUUACCUUAUUUCUCGAUGCAACUGCAAAAGGGCAUUCAGUAACUUUUUGUUGCGAUACUGCUCCUUAGCAUCCUACAAACAAAUAGAUAUUUUGUUUAGAAAUAAAUGAAACAAAAGAAUUAAAAUCAAAUCCAAGAGCAUUAUAAUAAUUAUUAGGAAAACAUCUCCUGUUUCAAGCAGCAUAACUGAACCAAUAUGAGUUCACAAUGGGAAAAAAAAUCUGAUGCUGAGUUCAUUAAUGUAUUCCAAAGCUUGAAACGAACAAUAAAACACAAAUCACAAAUUAUAAUUAAAGUAACUUCCAGGCUUAUCAAAGUUUUGGAUUUAAUCAUCCAACUUCAUAAUGAAAUUCAAGAGAGAUGAUGUCAUAAGACAGUAUAAAGCUCCCAUGACAAGAAAGCUAGAAGGGUCUAUGUGGUUUUCCCAUAAGCAUGUAAGUAACAUCCAAGAGGCAUCAACUAGUAAUAAAAUAUGAUUUGUCCAACAAACUUCAUACUUGAGAAAUUCAAAUGAUCUGGAAGCACCAAGACAGACCAGCUAUCUGUAAUUAGUGCAUCCUCAUAAUAAAUUUGCACAAAGUAGACCAGAUGAGACAUUCAUGAGAUAAAAGUGUGUCUAAUAAAAUGCUUGUGCCAAUUGAUGCAUGCCUGGUCAAGCCCGCAUGAAAAGAAUGGACUGCUAGCAAUCUCCUGCAACCUACAGUUACAUGUAUAGCCAAUGCCUUAACUUGCCAAGCCCUGACAUAAUAUUGGUUCACGUGUAAAAUCAACUAAUAGUGUGGGCAUGUGAUAUGAGAAUGACUUGACACAGCCUAUGACCAGCAAGAGCACAAAAUCCACAAUGGAAAUUCUCAUGUAUAACCUAUGAGUAACACACCACUCUAUCAUCUUACAUCUAAGAAGGGAUUUAAUUGAGGCGACAUUAGCAAGCAUGGAUUCAGACACUAGUAAGUACACACCAUAUUGACCAAUAUAUGCCGAUCCGACCAAGGACCAGUAUUGAACCAUAUAGCCUGGUACUGUUUGAAAUUAUGUUUUCAGGUGAUACCAGACAAUAUGGAUCAGUAUACCACCUUGUACACUAUAACCAUACCAGUCAGUAGAGUAUCAAAAUUGGUAUCAAAUCAAUAUUUAAAUCUUUGUUAGCAAGUUACAAUUUUAGAAAGAAAUGUUAAUAUCCAAGACAUUCAAAAGAUCAAUAAAUCACAAAAAGAACAGUAAUAAGGAGGUAAGGAUAGUAUGAUGCUAAAAAAACUCAAUAUAGAUUCUAUUAAUAUCAUCAAUACUAAAUAAAAAUUUAAGAUAUUGAUACAACAUUAUUAAGUAUCUUGGAUCAAUUAUUCAAUAAGAUGGAGAGAUCAAUAAAAAUAUUAUUCGUAGAGUAAAAACAGGAUGGUUAAAAAUUAAAAUGACGAGAGACAUUAAGAAUCUUGUGUGAUCAUUGGAUAAUUUUAAGAUUAAGAAGAAAAUUUUAUAAGACCAUCGUAAAACUAACAAUGCUUUAUAGAUCUGAAUAUUGGACAGUUAAGAAACAACAUAUAUAAAAAGUUUGUAUUACUAAGAUGAGAAUGUUGAAAUGGAUGUGAGGAAUUACUAGGAAAGAUAGAAAAAGAAAUAUUAUUAUUCGUGAACAAGGAUGAGAAUGUUGAAAUGCUACGGUACUAUAUACCAAGCGAUAUAAUUUGGUAUACCGCUCGGUAUAUAUAUAUAUAUAUAUAUAUAUAUAUAAGAGGUAAAUCGCUCAGUAUACCUCUCUUCUCCCCACGCGGGGCGACAUCGCCUCUCUUUUCGGGCAACAUCACAGAAAAAAAUAAUUUUGCGAUGUCGCAGAAAAAAAAAAUUGUGACGUCACAGAAAAAAAAGAAAAAAUUUGCGACGUCGUAGAAAAAAAAUUGCAACAUCACCUCGGGCGAUGUUGCAUCUCUUCUCGGGCGACGUCACAAAAAAAAAAAAAAUCACUAAGGCAUCGCCUCUCUUUGCCCCGCGACACCGAUACUCUUCUCCCAGCGUGCAGAUGAGAAGUCGCCGCAGACGAGGUGAGCGAGGCCGAUCUCAUGUUCUCUUUUUUUUUUCUUGUUUCUUUCUUCCCCUUCUGCCUCUUCUUUAACCUUCUCCCUCUUUCUUCUCCCUCGGUUACCAUCGACUCCCUCUUUCUUCUCCCUCGGUCACCGUCGACGACAACGGCCUCAAUCGACGCUACUGCUCGGUAGCGGGCGGUCCGUGUACCGGUUUAUUAAUGGUACGAUGAGAGAUAGAAGAAGACUUAAAAAGACUUUAAUAGAAACUAUAAAUAAAUAUUUUAGUACUUUGAACUUCACUAAGCAUGUGAUUUUUUAUAUAUCUCAAUGGCAACAAAAGAUCCAUGUAGUUGGCCUUAAAUAGUUGGGACAUGGUCUUGUUGUUGUUGUUGUUGUUAUUGUUGUUAUUGUAUUACUCAAGGUUCGUUGUACCGUACCGUACCGGCGUUUUGACCUGGGCUCGGUAUGGGUACGGUACCAGUGUACCGGAUGGUACAUCAGGGCAUACCGAGCGGUACGCCCUGGUGUACCGAAUAUUUUUUAUUUUUCAUACAUGUAGCAGUGCUACAGUACAGUACUGUAGUACUGUAGCGGUACCGACGAUUCGCAUACCAAUAACUUGUCGGACUGGUAUGUACCGCCCGGUACAGACGGUACACUUCGGUAUGACAGACCUUGGUAUUACUAGUUAUAAGUUGAACAUAUGAAUGUGUUAACUAGCACUCAAAAACCCAAAAACAAAGCUAUGAAAAACUUAAGAAUACCAACAAAAGUUAAAAAUUCCAAGAGUUCAAAGAACACUAGCAUGCCCAUAUGUCGUACGACACCCCAUAUUAAGAUGGCAAAUGGUGGUCCAACUUGUUAUGUUGAUAAAUGCUCCUCAUUAAGGAUUUCAGUUUGCCAGCACAAUUGUAGAGAAAAAGAUGUGCCAAAAUAAUAAGGGACAACACAGAUCUCCAUACUGGUACCAUGCUAACACAUGGAAAUUAAUUACUAUGUUUAUAAGAAUUUCACUAAAUGUAACAUUGCAUAUUUAGCAAGACUAUGAAUGUAUUAAAAAUUAUCUUACAUAAAAGAACAAGUGACCUUCAAAUUUGGAGAAAACUUAUGACAAAUUGACCAAUGACAACAUGUUGGAAGGAAUUAGGAAGGACGCAAUUUUGUAGCCGACUUGAAAAGAAGUCAUAAAUUUCAGUUUCCAUUAAAGUAUACCAUAGCGUCAGAACAAGAAAUAACGUGGGAGGAAAAACUUAAUACACUAACUUAGAUUGUGCAAUUCAUUGCAGUAUGCAAUUCAAGUCAGUUAAACAUUCAAAAAAAUAAUCAAACAAAUAAGUCCAUAAACCACAGCCAAUGAAGACCUCUAACAAAGAAAAUCAGCAUGGUUAAAUUCCAAAGUAUAUGAAAACUCAAUCUGUGAAGAAAAGCAUCAAUUACUUUAUAUUGGAUACAAAUUCAAGAAAGAAAGCUUCCUAGAUCUUCCUACAAGUUGAGUCAUGGAAGUAUACAUGACAUGAACUUAGCACAAUUACGUAUUUAGGUCCAUCAGGAAAGUAAUAAACACAACUUACUCGUAAUUUCUCGAGAAGGUUUAACAGCAAGAGAAGGGAAGGAAUCAUCAGAUCAAUGAGGCUCUGUUCAUGACUUCGUUUGCGAAGUAAAUUAGUUGUAGAAUUAUAUUCAGCUCCUUCAUCAACAAGAUAAUCUGAAAUCGAAAUAAAUAUAAUUCUAAUAAACUAAUUCAUUUCAUAAGUUUAUUAGAAUAUAGAUUAUAUUUGCCAAAGAAAACAUCUUCGGCCCCCUAGCAAAUCAUAUAAAAGCAAGUAUGACAAUAAAUAAAAAUUGUGGAAAACUAAAAUAUAUAGAAAAUAAAUUAGUGCUACAAGUAACAAAAUGUAACUAACUAUACCUUAAAUAGGCAAUAAUCAGCAACUAUGUACUACAUCAAACCUCAACUAAGAUAUGAUAAAAAAUGUCGCAACAGGGUGACAAGAUAUUCCUCUUCCAGCAAACUUCACAGGCUUUGAAGAAUUGGGCUUCAGCACUAAUCAUUAAAAAUGAAUCUGAAAUAGUGUUUUAUCCAAAUCCUAGAUGAAGCCCAAACUUCUUGUUAUCAAUCAUAACAGGGAAACGUAACAGAAGGGACACUUGCUUUACAAUCAGAAAUGCCGAAGCUUAAAAUAUAAACUAAGAGAUUAAGAUGAAUUAAGCUAAAGACAGAAAUCUCCUAGCAAGUAAAAAACCAAAGAUACAAGCUAGUGAAGGAUUGCUUUGCAAGUUACAUACAUAAUUUUCCUCACCAAAACAAUAUUGAUAGUUUUUCUCAAUUUAAGUCAAAAAGAGUACAAUUGUCUUACAUCACGAUCUUUUCCUUAAACAAAUUCAUUAGUAGUUGGUUUGAAGGUCAAUGCUAUAGCCAUUUAUCACACAGGACUAAAAAUGAUGUCCAUGACAAGUUGAGUCAAAUAGUUGGAUGUUCUUCAAAAAUACAUGUAAAAUAUACCAAGAGAGAUAAGCACACUGUUAACAAGUCAAUAAAGACACUUCAUAAGCUUAUAAGCAUAAAUCCAACUUAUGGUUAAAGCAAAAGAUAAAAGACCUCACCAUAACUAUUUGACAGUCUCUCAAGCAUGGAUUUACAACUAACUAGAACCACAUAUACGAGAGUCACUGCUCCUUCUUCAAAAAGAGAAGCUGCUACAGCCUUCAUCAACAAGAAGAUGAUAACGUGAAAUAAAUGUCACAUGGUUACCGCAGAAAAUAAAGCAAAGCAGAAAUUAAAUUCUUACUGAAUCAUCUGAAAUAAAUGCCAGAAUACGAAAUGUUGUCGUCAACUGAACCACAGAACUAUUGCAUAGAGUAACUCCAUCAAAGUACUUAUCCGAGACAAGCUUCCCGAGAAGAUUAUCCACAACCUGAGCAUCGGAGUUGUUUGUCGAAUCGCCAAUGACAUUCUCAACAUCAAUCGAGUCGGAUACUAGCACACUUGAUGAACUAAGAUGAGCCUCCCUACCAGAUGCUAAAACUGCCGCAUAUCGCAGAAGACCAAUAGCCCCAUUUCUGUGAUAUACAACACCAGCAUCUAUCCACUCUAGCAAUCUCAUGGGUGCAUCCUUGCUAUUGGUCCUUGGGGAAGCUAGGUGUAAAGCUUUGUGAAGUUCCACUGCAUGUCCAAUCCAAGAAUUGAGGGAUGAUGCAGCAGAAUCUGUGACCAUGACUUCAAAUAUUUCUGCAGCUGAAUGGAAGAUGGCUAGACUUAACCGAGAAGUCCCUGAAGUUCAGAGUACCAACAGAAUAAGUGCAGAGAAAAAACAAGAGUUAAAUAGAGCUGAAACUAGUAAGGUAUCCAACUCAUCAGAAGCAACCAACAAAGAACAUCAAUACAUGAUCUAUCAUUCUUUUUACCAAUUGGCUCUUUCUCUCUGUAUGAACGUAGUGCAUCCAUCAAAACUGAUAUAACCUGUAACAUCACAGUUAUCAAAAUGAAAGGGAAAAAACAAUUUUUUAAUUAAGGUAUAAGGUGAUAGGACAAAUAAUAUGAUGGUAAGGUACCUCUGGGAAAUGUCCUAGAACCAACAAUGCUUGACGACCAGACUCAGACCUGUAUAUUAGCUCUAAAUUCAAUACAAAAUUCAAAAUUUAUAUCCACAGAAUAAGUCAAUAAUGUAGAACCUGGAAAUGGCACAAAGCUCCCAAAGAAUCCACAAAAGAUCAUCAUACUGAGGACCAGUGUUAAGCAACCGAUCAAUAGCAAUCCCCUAUAAAGAAGUGUAACCAUGGAUGAGUGUCCCAGUACCACACACCAUGACAAAAGAAUCACAGCGUCCAAAUAUUCAUUUUCAUAUCUUCCCUACGAAUGGUGCUUUUUCACCUUACACAAAAACUCAAAAUAAAAUAAAUCUCAAACAAAAUUAAAAAAAAGUUACACAGUUUCCAAUUAGAUAAUAAUUAAAAUUAAAGUGAUAUUACUGCAGCUGAACAUGGUUAGUGUGUCAUCACAUUGGUAUUCAUGUGCAGAUCCACGCAAAGAUGCAUUAAUCAGAAUGAUAUCAGGAUGGCAAGUUGGCAACCUGCUUAAUGUACUUAUUCAUCAACUAGCUAUCUUUUAAACUAAUGCAUCUGGGGUAAAAUAAAUUAUAGGUGCUAUAAAUAGUUUAAUUUCUAGUUAAAUCAGUUUUGCUUUGGUACAAAACUAACCACUUUAAGAUGGAGCUCUAUGAUCAUGGCAACUUCCUGUGGAUGACAAAUAAACCCUUUUGACAGAAAAACAGCUGCCUGUCUGAGAGUCAUGCACUCUUUUUUUGUUGCUUCUUCAACAUCUUGAAGAGAAAGAAUCACAAGUUCGGUUGCUUCAGGAUGGGUGAGUAAAAAACAUAGACCUGGAAAACAAAGAUGAUUAUUUUGAUGACAUCAUGUUUAUUGCCACGGUCAAAACAUAGACGACCAAAAGAGGACCUGAACGAUGAAAGAGGAGAUUAAGAAGUAUAUAUUCAACUGAAUUUGCAAUCUCCAUAAAAAUUACUGUCUUCUUGUCGUUUGCUGACUGCAAUGUAGGAGAUGAUAAAAGAGCAGCUGACAAGGGGAAAAAUCCUCUAUCCUGUUACAACAAAACAAUACAUAGCUUAAAAAAUUAGUUAGAACUUGGCUUUUUAAAAUUCAAACAUGCAUUCAAAAGUUAUUAUAUAAAUAUUCUGCAACCACAUCACAUUUCCCAACAUGAAUACUUAACAAACUUCCAUGACUUCUAGCCAUCAUUUUUUCAUCUCUAUAUUUCCUACAUCACCAUCACCUUUGUGAAUGGACUCUAAGUUGAAAAAAAAUAAAAGUUAAUUACCUCAAGAAGAGUUAACAAGCACAUGUCAAUAUCCGAUCUAGCAAAAGUACACUUAGAUGUGGUUAUGCAGUCGAUAGUUGCUUUGUACGACAGUAAUCCUUCUGAUUGCUCCAAAUUGGAUAACCUUCGAGCAAAAGUGAGGGGCGACGGAUCUUCAACAGGCUCGUACAGAUUUAUCAGUUUCUGGAUGAGAAUUCUUGUCAGCAAAAAUGUGAAAUUUACAAGAGUUCCAUCUACAACAUUAUGAUGUAUAGAUUUAAGUUGCAACACAUCAUGUGUAUGAUAACUGGUCAAUGGCAUAGUAAUUGUAGUGAUACAUUACACAACUGACAUGUUGUGCCAUGUAGGCUUCUUAUCCAACACAGGUUAAUGCCAUGCCAUGUAGUUUGGCACAUAUGUGCUCAUGCAUGCCUGAAUUGCAUCUACUGCCGCAGGUAUUCACUCACUGUACUCCUUGCGGCAUGUGCAACAGUACACUAGUAACAAGCAAUGCAACAGUGCAUAUAAUGGUAUAACAGAGGUGCAACUCGUGCAUAUACUAACCAUAAUUUGCUUGAGAUGAGAACUGGCAGUGACAAGUGAUUCAAUUCCAUCAGCAGCGAUCGCAGAAUGAUCAGACAGAUUAGCCAAGGAAGAUAACACUGCAGCCUAAAACCACAAGAAAAAGGGAAUAAUUCUUUGAAGGUGUAUAAAUAGCACAAGUCAGCAACAAAAAGUUGUACGCUAACCUCAUAUCUGGUAGCAAUUUCAUAGAAACGCAAACGGUGUAGUAUAUAUGCUGCAAGUGCAGCAACAUCAUGCCGUUGCUUCCCUAGUAAUAAGCUUAACAAAAAAGAAUAGCCAUCGCUGUUACCAACUGGAACAUUCUCAUCUCCACGUGGCCACCAGCCUAAAAAUCCUUCACAUCCAAUGCCAUGUCGAGUAGCACAUUCAACAAUGCCUAGUAACAUUAAUGUAAUAGCAGGAGAAUUCUCUUGACUUAAUAACCAAACAAUUUCCUCCAUUCCACCAUUAUUGACAAAAUGAAAGCAGCCGUCUCUCGAAGAGCAAAAUAGAAGAGUCAAGCCCAAUAGUAAAAUCAUGUGUUUGGUCUGACAAAAAGAAAAUACAUCAUAACAGUGUAAGUUGAUGAUAUUCAAAAUCAAAAAGACUUGUCUAAUCCAGAAAUCAUUUAAGCAAAUGGAUGUACCUGAGAAAAUAACUGUAACUCAACAUCUGAUGUACUCUUGAAAAUUUUGCAUUUAUUGAACAUGUCAAUUAGCAGUUCAGAAAUAAGUGUUUCAGCUCUUUCAAAAUCGGCUGAGGCUUCUGCUGACUGACUAUCCACACUUUUGGAGUUACAAAGUUCAAGGGUUUCUUUUCUAGCCUGAACAAGAACAUCAUUUAUUUUCUCCAUAUCCUUCUUGUGGUCAGUGACUCCAACCAGCAUGUUUUGGUCCCAGUAAAAUGUGUUGUUGCUACUGUCACUCCUCCCAUAUGACAGAACAGGUGAUACAACAGUACUUACAAUCUCAGAAAGUUGGUUCUCAAAAUCAGUAACUUGGCAAAACUUAACAGCUAACAACAAAAAUUGCUUCAGUUCAGGAGGAAUGUCAAACAUAGCAACUGGAAACCCUAUGUAUUUUAGAGAAGUCAUUGACUCUUCAAACAUCAACUUAUUUGAACAUAAUGCUGGUGGAAGGUCUUCUGAUUUUCCUUCUGAUGGAGAAUAAACAACAUUUGCCAAUGAAUUGUCCAGAUCAAAUUCAAUAUUAAACUGUCCAAGAUCUUCAGUAGUAUUUCCAUAAACAAUAAGAGUAAGACUUCGAUAGCUGCCCCUAAGAACUAAAUGAUUUGUAACUAUAGCCUGCAUCAUGUGUAUCAACAAUACGCAUAGUAAGGGAUCCACUAAGAGAACCAAAAAAUAUUUGUAAAUGACGUCAAACCGUGAUAUACAAUUCUUGUAACAAAAACUAACAGUCUUCAACAAUAUCAAAAACUUCUCUCGUCAAGGAAAAAAAAAAGGACAACAUAGCAAUACGAACCUCUCUUUUGUCAUCUUAGAUCUCUAUGUGCAUGAAAAAAAAGAUGGCCACCAAAACUAGACUAGACUUAUUAAAAAUAAUAGAUUUAGUAGUAAGAGAAUGAAGCAAUGUAAAGCUGGAAGAGAUCUGAUCUAAUUCUUCAUCAGAAUAUUGUAACCCAUUGGCCUACAAACAAGCCAAUUUAUUAUAGUGAAGCUUUUCAUUUAUCAUGGCCAGGAGGUCUUGGCCAGACAACAAAAUAAUAUGUGCAAGCAAUCAUGUCAUUUGAAGCACUGAAAGCCAAAAAUGGAAAAUUAAAAAAAUCCCUCUUCCAAAAAUUGUUCUUCUCCUACAAUCAGCCUCUUCCCACCAACCUAACUAAUGAAACAAGGGUGACAAGUCCAAGAACCAAAGUCCAGCAUCAAGCCCAAAGUCCUCCAGCAUCUAACCACUCCAGCUUCCUUUCUAACAAUAUUAGGUAGCAGCAAAUCCACAAGUGGUGAACAAGAAUAAUAAAGCCCAAAUGCAAAAGUUGAAAGCAAAUGAUUAAUUAUUUAGGCACUAGCUGUCUGAAUCAAAACAAGUUGGAAAUUAUUGAUUUGAUUUAGCAACAAAUAUCAAACUUAUCCUCUUCAUCAGAUACCUUGGACAUCCUAUUUGCAGUGAUAAUUGAGUGAAACAAAAGAUUGAUCCAUUACAGACAGAAUGAUUCCAAAACAAAAACAAGAAGCCCUGAGAUUGAGCCAUCUUCUCUCCUAUGUUCUGCAACAUCUUCCCACCUCUCCAGCUAGGUUACCCCAGUAGCUAGGUCUGACACAGCAGGGGAAGCUAACAUCCCCAUUAAGCAUCACUGAUCUCCAAAGUCAUUGACAGAUGAUGACCCCUUGGAAUGCCCUUUUUGCAUUUCUUUAUCCUUCUUAUCCUAUCAAAUUAUAACCAACAAUUUUCCUUAACCAUAUCAAUACAAUCCAAAUGGAACUAAUACCUGACAGAAAUCAAUGCGUAAUUCCAUGGUUGAAUUAUUCUUAAAUUUAAUAAUAUUACUUAUUUAUCAUACCAGUACCAGUCAAAUACAACUAAUACCUGGCAGCAAUCAAUACUUGAUUCCAUGGUUGAAUUAUUCUUAAAUUUAAUUCCUUAUUCUUAAAUUUAAUAAUUAUCAGAUUGCUGUGAGUGGUUAAUUCAGUCAUGAUUAGAGCAUAAACUGAAUAACAACUGAGUGGGUUGUUUACAUCAUAACAGACUCACUUUGCAAAGGCUCCAAUAAUCAUUAGCCCUUAUUUCAACUUAGCUACAAGCCUUUAUCCACUCAAUAACUUAAAACCAAGCUGUGGCUGGUUUCGAAAUUUUAGUUGAUUCACAACUGACUUAAAAUCAGCCCAGCCUAAUCAGUCAUAUCGAAUUGGCAAUAGAUUAGCUUGUAUCACCAUGUUAUGUAUAAUAUUUGUCUGAAUCAAGCUGAACCACAGUUUGCUGCCUAGUUUACAGUGUUGUUCACCUUAUACAAGUGGUCUUCGUUACAAUCUUUGCUUGAAUGGGUACAUAUAGCCAAGGUUUAUAGUAUCAAUCCAUACCACUCAGUAUGGACAGUACAUACCAAUCCGAUAGGGGACCGGUACGCGGACCACCCUCUACCGGGCAGUACCAUAACCUAACCCCGUAUCAGGCAAUAUAGGGUCUGUACCGGGCAGUAACGAUCGAAAUCCGACCAUUACCAAUCAAGGGCUAAGAUUGCCCUAUUUCAAACGGUCAAAUUGACCGUUUGAACCAUAGGGAAGGGUUUUUAAACUCUUUCCUCCCCCCUCUUUCAACUCAUAUUACUCUCUCAAUCUCUUCAACUCCCUCAAACUCAUUUUCACUCAUAUCUAACAAUUCAAAUCAUUUCUUUGCAAAUAAUUCAAUAUUAAUGGAAGGACGAUUCAGUUAACAUCACAAAGCUACUCCUUAAAGCUCGAAAAAGAUGUCACUAUUCUUUCCUAAUUUAGAUUAUUUUUUGCUAAAAUUAUACUAAAUUUAUAUUUAUUUCUGACUUAAAAACCUAAUUUAAUUUUUUUCUAUUUUUUAGGUAAUUUUGGACCUAUUUUUGAUUUUUUUUAGCAUAUCGUCGAUACGGCUAACGUACCAACGUCAGUAUGUCUCGGUACAUACCGUACCAUCAGUACAGAUCGAAAUUGCAAACCUUCCAUAUAGCCUGGAUGAAAACUAUGAGAUUUCAUCCAUUAUCUUUAUUUUUUUCCCAUUGAGUCCUAAUUAAUCUCCAAAGAAGAUAGAAUUAGCAUCUAGUCAAGUAGUGCAGCAGAGUCUUAUGGACUUCCUUAACUAAGUAUAGUAGGACCUCAUGAUCAGAUAUUUUUGUCAGCAACCAUGCAUAUAGACCAUCAUCCCUUAUCUAGAAGUUACUAAAAAACAACAAGAUUCAGUGUGGCUUUAAAUGUGAUAUAGCUUAAGGAAUGGUCAAUUUUGUAACUCUGAACAUGAGAUGAUAACUUGUUAGACACAAUUUCCUUUAUAGUAAAAUAAUACAGGAAGACCAGCAGCCAUCCAAUAAAAUUAUGGAUCACCAAAAAAGAUUAGAGGUUAAAAUUAAACAAGUAAACAUUUUUUUUAUCAAGAGGCAAGAUAAUUAUAUAAUCAAAUAGAUUAUGAAAAAUACAAAAUGAUGAUAAACAACUACUUAUGCUAACUAUAUUGGUUCAAUACUAUUUAACAAUAAAAACAACCAUAUUGCAUCAACAUUGAGACAGAUUGUUGGGUCAAACUAAGGUAUAGAGGAGAAGAUAGUCAGUUACCUCAACUUCUAAAACAUUGGAUGAAGAGUGUGAAUAAAGGAAAGGCUGGCAAAGACGCCUAAAUCUUGACUCUCCUUCACUGUGAACAAAAAUCUCUAAAGCAAAAGAAGGAGGUGAGGUAGCCCUGCAUGAGAAUUUUCCAUAAGAUUUCAAUAUUAUGGACCUUCAAAAUUUACUUUACUGGGAAAAUAUUAAUAUCAAAAGAUGUGCUUUUGACUACUCGUAAGUCAUAACCACAAAACAUUAUGGUGUUACUGCACUGUUUCACUUCACAAGAUUAGCGCAUGGGCACUCAACAAUUAACAAUAAUAUGGAACAUCAGAAACCAAAUAUCUAGGAAUGAUCAACAUUCUACCCAGGGUAUACAGUUUCGAAUGAUAUCGCCCGGUAUGGGCAGUACAUACCGGUCCGACAGGUUACCGGGGGGAACACUUAAAAGCGCCCCGUAUAGGAUGAUACGGGGUUAUAUCGGGCGGUAACGGUCGAAAUUUCGACCGUUACCGCCUAGCACAGCUCGGGAAUGGUCGAAAUUUCGACCGUUACAACUCGAAAACGAUCGAAAUCGACCACUACAACUUGGUAACAAUGCUCCAACGGUCAAAUUGACCGUUGGAGCCCUUUCUCAUAUGUUUUUAAACCCAUUUUCUCUCCUAUUUCACUCCAUUUCAUUCUCAUACUCUCUUAAACUAUCUCAAACUCUCUUUUUUCUCACAUUUGUGCUCUCCUAAACUCUACUAAACAACGAUUUGUGAAUUGAAUCAAAGCUAAUUUCGGAAGAUUAAGAGUAAGAACUUUCUAAUCAAAAGAUAUGUAUUCUCUUUCUUUAAUUAAAGAGUAAUUAAGAUAUUUAAUGUUAUGAUUAAUUCGAAAUUAGAUACUAUUAAGUAUCUAAUUGGUGUACAGCUCGGUACACCUAAAUUAGGUGUACCUAAAUUAAGUAUCUAAUUAGAUACUAUAGAUUAAUUCAGAAGAUUUUACACCUAAAUUAGGUAUAUCACUCGGUACACCCUGGCAUACCACUCGGUACACCCUGGCAUACCACUCGGUACAUGGCACCGUAACAAACCGAGCCAAGCUCGAAACACCGAUACGAUAUGGUAUUUCAAUUCUUGAUUCUACCAGCUGCCACUUUAUUUGAGGAAAAGACAACAUUAGACACUGUAGCAUAAUAUGCUUGAUCUAAAAACAAGAGAGAACCUAUGGCUUCUAACUCACCCCAUUAGACAUGCUACAUUAGUGUGUUGUCAUACAUCAAGUUCCAUUAGUAAAUCUUCCUAGCUAAUAAAAUAAAUUUAACCAAUACAAACUUGAAAUGAGCAAAUGAGCGAGCUUGCUGCACAAGCAAAGAGAACAAAAGAGAACAUGAGAAGAGAAAAAACUAACCAAUAAACACGAGUAACCGUGACCAUAUAUUAAAAGACAAUCUUACCUCCACAAAUAUUGAGACUAAGCUGGUUCAGUCUAGAACUAGCUACAUAUGAAACACAGCUUAAAAUCCAAAGCUGGGGUGAGAAACAAAUCCUUAAGUAACAGAACAAGAGAAAUGGUCACUAGGUGGAAAUCCCAGAAUCACACUUUCAUGAAAUGUAAUCCUUAAGUAUGGGAGGUCAAAUGAGAGAUACUAUAAUUUGUGGCCACCAAACAUACAUGCAUACACAAAAAACAUGAUGCUAGAGUACCAAACAAAAUCCAACAAACGAAGCACCAGACUAAGCAACCAAUUAACCCACUAUUGCAUCAGUUGUGGUUUUUGUUUCCUCUCCGGGAACAUUAUUCAUACUAAAAUACAACUUCAACAUGAUCAACUCAAUACAGUAUUCAUCAGAGACACCUUGCAUGUAUCUUAUAACUAUCACUAUCACUUACUGAGAUUACUUAUACUUGAUAUGACACUAAAAUAUUUUAUUAUCUAUUGCACAUGAACCGACAUAUGCACCCAUAUACCACACAUGCACUAUAAAAAUACUUUAAGUUCCUGCAUAGCAAAGCAACUUUUUCGAACAUUGAUCAAGUUCCCAUCCAUGCUUCUUUAAUCGCACUAAACCAACUCUGUCACUGCCUUGAUUAUUGAACCACUUCAAAAUAUGCUAAACCUAGAUGAGGCAUUCACAAUAAAUCGACAUCUCAACAGAGCUAUACAGCUUAUUGCAUAUGACAAGUAAUAAAGAUAAGAUACUAAAAAUCUAUAUAUGCUAGACCGAUCACAUUUUUAAAAGUAAUGGUCCUCCAUUAGGGAGGUUGCUGUUUGCAAAACCAGGGUGAUACCACAAGGCUGGCAUGGUCAUGAUUUCAAGAAAAUUUGAUUAGCAUGUAUUGGACAGUAUUUACUGGUCCAGGUCUUGAAUCAACAAGCAAACCAGGGAUUAUUCACUCUGUCGACCCGAUUCAGUUCCUUUUUAUAAUAUUUAAGGUCUUCAAUUACUGUCCUUUGCAUCACCAGCUGCCCACAAGCCAUCGCCGAUAUUUUUGAAUGAGAUCAGAUGAAUCAAAAUAAUUUUCUUUAUGCAUGCAGCAAAAUAUACGUCAACAGAACUAGCAAAUUUUUACCCAAGUAGUGGUACAUUUGGUGCAGAUGGAGAUGCAUUCUGCUCAAGAAACUCACAAGCAGUAAUGAUAACAGGUUCUGCAAAGAGGACCUGCAUAAAGACAAUUUAACAUGUCAUGAAACCUGAUAUUCAGUAAGUCAAAAUUUCCAAGAGAAUGAAAAGCAACAAUGUUUUAGGUAUUUAGAUAACGAAAAUCUACUGUAUAAAGGAAUGCAUACGUGUUUCUCAAAGUACAUGCAAAUAUCCCAGAGUGUCUCAAGUAGUGCUGGAAAAAUCUUUUCAAUGUUAGGUUUACACCAAAAGUCUAAAUUAUAACAACGAGAAUUUAAUCAAACAUCUUCCGAAGUCAUGAAUUGUUUCAACUAUUUAUCCAUUUUUUGUACGAUAAACACCUUCCCCGAUGAUUCAGAAAUAUUUAUAAAAAAAACAGUCACGUUUUAGCCUUAUUUGAAUGCAGCAAAGACCUUCCUAAGGAUUGGAAAUACAAAUACACAAAAGAGUAACAUAAAGCAUUUAGAGCCUCAAAAAGGUUGAAAGCUUUGAGAUUAAUUAGAUAUUGGACAAAAGCGUCACUUCGAACAACGUUCAGUAUACUCAUAAAGUUGAAACCGAAAUCGACAAAAACCCAAAAUCUAGAGAGAUGGCAAAAGGGAAAACAGAAAAGAGAGACACUGACCUCAUCAACAUAUUCAUCAAGUUGAGAAUGAACGAACGAUUGGGCAAAUAGAACGCAUGGCUCAGAACGCCCCAUCUCCUCCACCUCUAUCUCCUGCUCUUCUUCGCCCUAUUCUUCUUUUCUUCUGGACUAGGUGGGCAUUGCCGUCAGAAGGAAACAGGAGAUUAGGAAGCGAAUAAGAGGCUGUGAGAGGAGGUGUCGGCCGAGUCCCGGAGGUCGUACUGUUAUUCGAAGGACUCGACCACGUCGGGAUCGUCGGCGGUGGCAAGGGAACAGAAGGGCAACAGAGGAAACCGAGGGUGGAAGGGCGGAGUCAGGGACAAGCAGAGCUGUUCCUUUAACCCCAAUCUCAAUCCGAAUCCGUCUUCGGACCUGAAUCCGAAUGACUUGCGAGGGCGAGUGAGGUUCCUUGGCGUCUGUUUUCUUUGCCCCAACCCGACUCGGAUCCGAAUAGCAUCGUUAUUUUUCUUAUACCGAGGGCCGACGCACAUCCGGACCCGACCCGACCUGAGAUGGCUUCCCAGGGCAAGUGGGCCUAGACUUUUUCGGAUCCGGAUUCAGAAUCCGGUUGGGUUCCGCCAGCAUGAAACGACGUCAAUCUUCUAACAAGCCCGAGACAGGGGACAGGAGUCUUGCCGGCCGUCGGUGCUUGUGCUAAUUCCUGCGCAUAUCUUAAAGCAUGAUGGAUCCAUAUCAUCCGUUGGAUUUCAAGCGCACAAACAAUAGGCGGGACUAUGAUUAGCUAUCGUCAUAAAGAUUGCACAACUAUUACUGCUGUUGUCAUUAUUUCGUUUGACUUGUUGCUUUUACUCAAUGAUGAUAGGGUGAUCAUUUGACUAGGGGGUUAAUCUUUGACUCUUUUUUUUACUAUUUUAAACUUUUAAUUGGAUUUUUUUCAUAAAGGAUAAGUACUUUUGAUAUACUUUCUUUCAGCCUAGUUUAAAUUAAUUUAGUAGUGUCGAUUUUGAUCAUCGACUUGAGAUGAUAAGUUUAUCGAAUCUAAUUUAUUUUUUUAAAUUUAGAAAGAGUUUAUUUUUGGAUAAAAUGAGAUUUAGAAGAUUGACGAUUAAGCUCAAAUGAGGAUGAAGCUUGAUUAAAGAACAUAUCCGCCUAGGGAAGUUUUAUCGAGCCAUGAAAUGAGAUGACUUGUUUGGAUGUGAAAUUAUAUCAUAUCUAAUUUGAUUAAGCUCUAUGUGUUGAAGCUCAAUUAACUAUAAAGAAUUAGAAACUGGACAACUAUUAUCUAUAUUUAGAAAGGUUAAAGGUUGCUUUAGAUGUCUUUAUAUGAGAUGGAUGCAUUAGGUAUAGCUGAUGCUUUGCUCGAUUAUCAAACAUUGUGUUUAUGUCUAGUGCACAUUGCAUCGUAUGUAGAAAGAUAUUGUACCUAGUAUAGUCAUUUCAAGUACUUUGAUACCUAUGUCCUCCUAGGUAGAUGCAUCGUGUGUGUAAAGACAUAUCUUAUCAUGUCAUGGUUCAUUGUAUAUUUUAUUGUUUAUAUAUUGAGAGAAUGCAUCUUUGAAAAACAUAUUAUUUCCUUGUUAAGAUGCAUCAUGCACUUUGAUGUUGAUGCCUUGGAUGAAUGAAGUUACGUAAAAUGUCUUUCUCAUGAAUCAUAUAUCUUGGAUGCUUACGUAUAAUAAGAUAAAUUGAUAGAUGCAUGACACGUAAAAGAAAGAUGUAUACUUACUUUGGGCUCAUUGACUACUCUCGUAUUAAUGUGUGAGAUGAAUGUAAUAUUCAUCAAAAAAAAAAUUAUAUUUUGCUAUAUCAUAUUGCAUCGAAUGUUCCAAAUGGUUGAGUCUCGUAUACUAGUCGAGUUAGGAUAUAUUAUAUGCUUUAUAUAUUUAUAUCUUGAGUGGUACAUUAUGUGUGAGUGAGGUGUUUUGUCCAAUUGAAAGAGGAACAUAUUGCAAGGUUAGAUGAGACCCCCGAAAAAACGAUAUGGAUAGGCUUUUUCCCAAUUUCAUCAAUGUCUUAAUUCCUCGAUCGCACUUUCCUCCAUAUGGGCAUGCCUUUCCCGAGCUUAAAAAAAAAACAAAAAAGGUAAAAGCAGUAGGAGGAGAGGGGUAUUUUACAAAUAGAAGAUGAAGAAGAAAAGUAAUUUAAAAAUAUUAAAAAUUACUAACAUGAUAUUAUAAAUAAUAAAAAAUGAUUACCUAUAGCAAUCUCCUUAAAGUAUUAAUGACAUGGUUGUAAAGUGACUCUUCCUUAUAAGAGUAAGCCAAAAUUGAAGUCCUAACAGGUAGAAUAAUAUUUUUAGAUAAGCUUGACAAGUCCAAGUUGGGUGUGGGCUAAGAUGUGACCUGACUUGGGUGAGUUGAAGCUGAUAGUUUACAUAGAAAGGGUUAUAUGACCAACCAAGAGUUCGGUUCGGCACAACAAGAAGUUAGAGUUGCAGGUAAUCGACAGUUAGUUUAGUUUCUUAUUAGAGUUGCAGUUAGGUUCUAACUGUAUCAGCUUUGGAAGAGGAGAGAUGAUAGUUUGGAUCAUCCUGAUUAGACCUAUGAAGUCUAAAGUUUAAGGAAGAUGAUAGUUUGUAUCUUCCUGAUGAUCUGAUCCAGAUUUUUCAAUAGGGAGGGAAAUCUAAGCUUGAGUUGAAUUGGGCAAUUUGAUGCUCCAAUUUGUUGUCCCGAUUCAUGGCAAAGGGAAAGGUUUUAGAUGAAACCAAGAUAAUUACAUAUAUAACCUCCUAUAAUUUACUAUGAUUAGCAUCUCGAUUCUUAUAUUUUAAAAAGUAACACGUCCCUAUAUUUUUAAAAAAUAAUUUUUUUUACGUAGUUAAUUUUUUCGACGAAAAAAAUCGUACAUCUUAUUAUGUGCAAAAAGGGCACGAAUGAGGAGAAUAAAAAUAUAAUUAUAUUUUUUAAUUAUUAAAUAUAUAUUCUUUAAAAUAUCAUAAUCGUUCUUUCUCUUCCUUAUUACCAUGCGAUCUCGAUCGUCGCUGCUCAACCUGUGCUCUCGACCAUUGCCUCUCAUGCACCAUUCGUCAUCGUUGCACUGAACCCACUCGACCAUGAUUCCUCCUGCUCAACCGUCGUCGCACCUACACCGCCCACCACUUCUAGCAUGUGAGUGGAAGUAAAGAAAAUGAGCUAGAGAGUUUUGAAAUCAAAUGUCAUGGCUUGUCAAUCUCAACCAAACUUUGCAAUUGGAAUACGGAAUACAGGAGCGACGACAAUCAAGCAAGUCUGAUGCAACCACGACCAACAAUGUAGGAGAGCUAGUAGGUGCAAGACGAGCUAGUUCGAUACGACAACCAACAAUGUAGGAAAGCUAGUAGGUGCAAGACGAGUUAGUUCAGUACGACAAUGACAAGCGAUGCAAAUGAGACGAGGUCAAGCGAUGCAAGAGCAACAACAAUUGAGAGCACAGGUCGAGUGUUAAAAAGAGAAGAAAAAACGAUAAUAAUUAUAUAUAUAUAUAUAUAAUAAUUAAAAAUAAAACUAUAUUUUUAUCUUCCUCAUUCGUGUCCUUUUGACACACGACAUACGAUUUUUUUCAUCGAAAAAAUUAACAACGUAAGAAAAAUUAGAAUUAAAUAUUUCACAUUCGUGGACCCCAAUACUAUUUUUUAAAAUGUGAGGAUCGAGAUACUAAUCAUAGUUAAUUAUAGAGGAUUAUCUAUAAUUAUUCUUGAAAAUCAUGGUACAAAUUUUAUAGGUCAAGUCAUAAAUAAACAUAAAGCUUGAGAACAGAUCCAAACAACUUCUGUUCUUGAAAGCACAGAAAUUAAUAUUCAACAUUCUAAGUGUCAAUCGCACAAAUAUCUCAAAGAUUUAGCAUCAAGCUCUCUUGCAUUUCUCAUCUGAUCCACGAGGUCGUUAGAACAGCUGAAUGCAGAUUUUCAGCCUGAAACAAAACAAGUCUAGUUGAAUAAUUUCCAUAUCAUGGUCAAACAUUGAUGCAUGUGCAAAGAAGAAAAUUGUUUAGCAAAAUAAACCAUUAGGAUCAAAUGCGACGACUUACAGUGACGUCGAAAUGAACAUCUAAAGGAACACCAAUAUCGGUGUCAGUAUCUAAAGUUGUUUCCAACCUUGCCAACUAAAUGUUCUCCAUAAACAACCUUCCCAAACUUGGGCGUACCCCCCGUCUUUUGCAUACAAAAGUCAAAUGGCUCGACAGCUGCAUCAAAAUUUGGCUGUACAAGUAACACAGAAGUUAAGAGGGGAAGAAAUGUAACUAAGAAGAUCAGAUGGGCAUACCUCAUAAAAGAAGGCAACAGAAACACGAUACUUUGGCGAGUUGUUGAUUACUCUAUGAAGAGUUGACUCGUACAAUCCGUUAGACCAAAUCUAAUAUCCGUAAAAGCUGUGACUUGUUAGUCAUUAACUUUAUUGGAAUUGAGCAACAAUCUAGAAGCACAGAGAAUAUCAUAACCUUUAGCAUGUCUCCGAUGUUACAUACAAAGGUACCAGGAAUGGGAGGUGCAGAGAUCCAUUCACCAGAUCUGUUUCUAACCUGCAAUAGAAGGUGCCAACUAUAACCAAUACUCUUCAAAAAGAUAACUACAAGAUUAAAUAAAUAAGUCAGAUUAUAUUUAUUCUCUCCCCAAUACUUUGUUAGCUGGUGAGGAUAAGCCUCAAAUUCUCCAUCAUUAUCUCCUUGUUCAUUGAGGGUCAUUUUGUCACUCGCUCUUCAAUUGGGAGGAGGUCAGAACUUACAGUGAGAAUCACAAAAGGUUACAUGUUUCAAAAUAUUAAUGAACAAGCAUUGUGGACUUAAAAUGUGAAUUCAUGGCAAUACCUAACAAAGACGCAAGAACAUUCACAAAAACUGAUCAACUCCCUUGGACAUAGGAGGUCACACAAUUUGUAGAGAGCAGACCCCAAAUUGUUUACGUUUUUGUUUGAUGGAUAAUAUAUAUGAUGCAAAACAUAUAUACCGGUGCAAUCAUACUCCGAUAUAGAAAUAUAUGCAUCAAGGCACAUAUGAAAUUGUGUCCAUCACAAAAGAUGAGUCCAUGGUUCUUAUGUCGGGAUAUGCCAUUCAAUUGUACAUAGAGCAGGAAGCCAUCGACACUUUGAGCAUAUGGAAUCAACAGCGAUGCUACUUGUGCUCUUUAUACAUGAAUGCUGACUCUCACAAUAAGUCUGUUACAUUAAUAAAUAUUCUAGCAAGCAGCCAUUUCCUAUGGGAUGUUGAUUCUUUCUCUUUAAAAGACAUCAUAAUCUCUUGCUACAUGUGAUUGUUAGAAUGGUUGAUUUAAGUCUAGUUGUUUAUCUUGUUACCAACUUGGUCUUAGGUAGUAUCUUAGUUUGCACUUUGGGCAUUUAGUGAUGCUAUUGCUGGUUCUUUUGUUGACAAACAUGGCACAUGCCUAUACUACGAGUAUUUGAGCCAUAAGCUCACAGAAACAAAAGUGUAAUAUGGAAGACGUCCUAUUCCAUCUUUGUUGUAGGAUAUUUGAAAAAAGCACUAAUAGGUGCAGUUAGAACUUUGAGUGGAUGGCAUUUCAAAGUGGAGAAGGAUGGGAGUCAUCUUGGGUGAACCAAGUGGUUGUUACAGAGUUAAAGCUAGAUCAUUUCCCAUCACAUAUGUCCAGGCACCACAAUCACAAAUUCAACCUUAAAUAAGAUCCUAAAUUUAUCAUUUUGGAAAUACUUUGCAAGGGUUAGUAACAAAAAUAUGGUUUUACUGCUUUAAGAGAAGGCGAUAACCAAGGUUCGCAAUACCGUACUGUACCGGUAUUUCAACCUGGGCUCGGUACCGGUACGGUACGGUGUACCGAGCACUGUAGCACUGAUACAGUGCGGACCGGUACCGGGCGGUCCACGUACCGCUGUCCUGUUGGACCGGUACGUACCACCCAUACCGGGCGGUACGAUUCGGUAUGGCAGACACUGGCGAUAACAACAUUAGAGAAGGAAGAAGAGGCUGAUGCAUGGAUCCCAAGAUGACCAUUCUAAAUCCUAGGUGCUUGCUUUGAUGUUGUUGAAGUUUUGAGUGAAUUAAUGAUAAUAGCAAAAGAGGACAUGAGAGGAUUAUUUAGAGAAGGUUGGGAUUGGAUGGAAGGUUAUGUGGCAUCUAGUGAUUUCUCCUAGAGUAAAACAUUAUUCUGUGGAAGCUUUUGUGAAAUAGAUUAACUACUUCAGACUGGAUCUCUAUAUUUGUGUAGUCUUAAACCCAACUUGUUCCAUCUGUAACCUCUUUACAAUUUCCAUUCGACCCUUAUUUUUUAUUAUUCCUUUGCCAAAUCCUAUUGGUCACUAGUGGGAUCUAAGUUAAACUUUUCCUUUAAAUACUGUAACUAGUGGUCCCAUGGUGAUUGGCUUUAUGAGGCCAAAGAUUUGGAUAAAUUGAUGUCUCAUCAAAUCCUAAGUCUAGUAGCUUCCUUUGGAUUAACCACAAUGAUUAUCGUUAUCGCAACUGAAGAAAUCAAUUUCACAAUAUACAAAAAUUUGUGGUACAUAAUAAAUUAGUACCUGAAGAGCAUUUAUUUCAUCAUCUUGGUUAACCAAAGUCAGAAGGCCUACAAGUGAAGAACCAGUUGAUAAUGUAUAAAUAUAAUCAAUAAAAUCUUUACAUGAAAAAGAAUGCCAAUGUAACAGUAAUUCCAGGAUAGAAUAGCUAGAGCAUAAAGACAAUUUAUACAACAAAAUAUGGCAUGACUAUUGUGAUGCAUCCUUUAUCAGAAAUCAUCUUACCGUAAUCCGUGUGUGCUCCACUGCAUUUGCGUAUAAUAGAUAUGCAGGGAAAAGGAAAAAAGAAAAAACAUAAGAAUUUACAAUCAACGAAUUUAAAUUUGAAUAACAACCAAAAAGGCAGUUGAAUAACAUAACUGCAGUACCAUCCUGUCUCAGUGCGUUGCAACUCUGGGAUAUCAGACAAAACUGGAUAUCCAAUUAAUCGCAUUACCCAAAAAGAAUCACCUGCCCGAUCACCUUCAAAUGCAUCUGGUGGUCCACCCAGUGCUAAAGCAAUUCCACGCAUAAUCUUUCUUGAAAGAUCUGCAGUUAAUGAAUUAUUCAGUAGUAUGGCAAAUAAUAGCUUGUGGUGAAUCAGGGAAGAAAAGGAAAUUAACAAUUGAAAAUAGACCUGUAAGCAGACAAAUAUACUCUUCCAUCACCACUUUGAAAUUUGAAGGAUAAUCUGGCCUGUAAUAAGAAAAAUGGAAAAGAUAACGUAAAGGAGUAAAAAUAUCUUUAUUUUCAUAAUUUAGACAAUGACUCUCUUGUAAUAAAUCCACCAUUAAAAAGAAAAGUCCUAACUUCUAGUCUUCUACACUGUUCCAUAGUAGCGCAUGUAUGUGAAUGAACAACAAUAAUAGGUUUUGGUAGGGAUCAUAUUCAAAUAAUAGUUAAUGGUUCACAGAUCUAUUUAUGGUGAGGAAUAACUUACUAUCAUUUUCCAAUUAUAGCCAAUCGAGUCCUCGAAUCGAAUCAAUCAAGCUGCAAAAUAUUGUUUACUGCUACACACAUUCCCUAAAUUGCAAUUGCUGUUGUUCCCGUGUUCUCCAAUUUUUUUUAAGAAACUAGCCUAUUUCCCAUAUUUGAAUCAAGGAAAAAUAUUAUACUGCAAGUCAAAUCGACCAGCCGUGCAAGUCAAGACUCAUCAGGCUGCUGAAGCCAUCGAUAUCCGCAAGUUGAACCGAUCAGCAAUGUGAAUCAAGGCUCAUCAUUCUACUGAAGUCGAUGAUAUUUACAAGUCAAACCGGUCAGCUGUGUGAGUCAAGGCUUGUCAUGUUGUCAAAUUAGUCAACAUAUGCAUCGAACAGGCCAUUCAUGUGAGUCAAGGCUCAUCAAGUUACUGAAGUCAUCCAUAUUUGUGAGUUCAAACGAGUCAGCCAAGAGGAUGCGGCUCGUCCAUUAUUGAAGUCAUCAAUAUCUAUGAGUCGAACCGAUCGAUCAUAUGGGUUGGGUCAACUCUUGUCAUAUUGCCAAACAGCCUUGUUGUUAUAAAAUUUUUUUGUGUAAUAAAUAUUUAAGGAUAAUAUUUUCUUAAAGGUUUUAUACAUUCCAAGCCUAAGUCUUGGAAAGCUCUGAAAUUCUGGAGGAGACAAUGAUUCAUUACAUAUGGAAGGUACUGUUGGAAUGAGCUGGACUGGUUAGUAGCAUUUGGACAGGUCUCAGACCUAUCAAAACUAAUAAAUAUCUUGUUCUUUAUAAUUUUUUGUUCAAUAAUAAUCAAAAUAGGUUUUUAAGAUCUAGUGCAAACCAUAUAUAAAAAAAUGCAUAAAAAUCAUGGAAAAAUACUAAAUAGGACACAUGAUAUAUGUACUUAAAUAUAUAAUUAAAAUUUGAAAACUUAAACCACUUGUAAAUCAAUAGACUAGUGAAAAACUAAAAGCGUAUAUGCCAUGUCUUCUUAAUGUAGUUCCAAAUCCUUAAUGCAACUCGGUGUAACACUGAGGAACAAUUGUAAUUGUCGGUCUACACAAGGUAUACAGUUUCGGGUGGUACGUACCAGUCCGACAGUAAACCGGUACGUGAACCGCUAGCUACCAAGUGAUAUUUUUUUAUUUAUAAAUAAAUUAUAUAUAUAUAUAUAUAUAUAUAUAUAUAUAUAUAUAUAUAUAUAUAUAUAUACUGAGCGGUAUACCGCUCGGUAUACAGUACCGUACCAUACCGAGAGAACUGUACAAUAUUUCGAAACUUCGAUACGGUACAAUAUUUCAAUCCUUGGGUCUACACACAGAUCAGCUACCGAACUACUAAAUAUCGGUCAGAAUAGACUUGCAAGACUGAACAUUUAGACCAUACUUGAUAGGAAAUUUCAUAAACCAUAACCCAAAGUUUUUAGUUCCUUUUUCCAUAUAGUACAACUCGAUCAUAUGAACAUAGUGAAUAGUUCUAACUUCAAAUAGGAAAUUAGUGUCAAAAAUGCAUAACAUACACCAACACAUCUUUAAAAUUUACAUCGACAAUUAUGAUCUUUGCACUUGAAAUUUAUUCACAUUGAAAUUCAGUAUUUAUUAGUUCCUAUAUUACUAAUGUCACAUCAAAAUUCCAUUACCACCAAGAACUUUGUAGAAUGGAACAUUUUAUGCAAGGAUUACCAUGCUUAUCAUACUAGCACAUGGCUGUACAAAUUUUUGGUAUGUAUUUGAUGGUGCAAGAGGCAUUCCACCAGAAUGACAUGUAGCCCUGCAACCCCAGCCGUUCCACCUCCACUCCCUCAUCCCCCCGAAACCCCACACCACAAAAAACGAAAAAUGGUAUUCAAACACGUUUUUGGCCUGUGCUAGGUGGCACAAGAAGUGUAUUGACCAAACGACAUGAUACAUGGAGUACAAAAAAGUCACCAAUGUGACCCCCCAGACUCCACUUGGUUUGCUGUACCCUUUUCUAGGAACAAUAAUAUUGCAAUUUCCUACCACUAAAUUAUAAAUAGAGGAACUUUCCUAGCUAGACCAAGAGCAAAAAAUAAUGUGAACUAUACACAAAAAAAAUGAAACUUACAAAAAACAAAGGAGUCUAAGACUCUAAGUAGUAAGUACCACAAAUUAGAACCCUCUAAAAGUUGACCAAGGGCUCCAUAUUUCCCAGCUUCCAUUUCCCUAUAACACUGAAAAGCACAGGUUUAACUAGGUCAGCAAAGCCCUCUUAGAAUGACAAAUAGUAAUGUUCAGCUAAGCAUAAAAUAGAUACAUACUGAUUACUAUGAGUGGGUAAUAUAAAACUUACAUCAAUUGCUUCAUGCAUGUCAGGCUUCCCUAGAGUUAUAUUUUCUGCGACUUCUUGGUAACCUCUGAUUAUAAGUAAAUAAACAAUGUGAAUUGAUUGAACUUGCAAAAACACUAAGUGCAAGUUGCAAUAACCAAGAGAGAAUAAUGUAUGACCUGUAUCCACUUGCUGGUGUCAUCUUAAUCUUUACCUUUUCCUCAUUUGGAAGGUUAAAGAAUUUGCUUGUUGCAUCCUUUACUUCUUUAACCAGUGAAUCAGGAAUACCAUGACCUUUCUGUACAUAAUUAAUGAUAUCAAGUUGUAAAAGCUCAAAUCUCACUUUGAUGACAAGUUCUCUUGGAGCUUAACACAGGCGCUACUAGAAUUGAAAUAAGAUUAGAAUGCACUAAAAAAUGGCUCAUUAGUUUAAAGGCACUGCUGCAUCAGCUGUAAAAUUCAAUAACAAAAAGUUGUUAAAAGUAAAAGUAAAGACAUCAAAUCAUAGAAUUUGCCUCUUGCUUAUAAGGCUAAGGCGGCAUAUGACCCUUCCUAGACCCAGCAUUGGGAGCCUCGUGCUGGAGCACCUUAUAACAAAUAAAAGAAGAAAUUUGAUGAACUGUUAUGCCAAAACUAAAAUUGUUGAGUCUCUUUUUUCAUUUAUAGUGAAAGAAAAAUUUCUCAUUAGUUAGCCUCUUUACUUCUACAAAAAAAAGCAAGAUAUUCCCUUCUACAAAUCAAGGUUCGUAAUUUUGUACCGUACCGAAGUAUCGAGCAGUAUGCCAGAGCGUACCGCUCGACAUAUAUAUAUAUAUAUAUAAGUUUUAAAAAAAAGAAAAAGGCCGACGUCGCCUCGUUUCUUCUCCCCGCGAAGCCUCGGCAACGUGCUUCUUCUCCCUACGUGGAUGAGGAGAAGUCGCCGACGACACCAAGGCCUCGUCGCCUCAAAGGAGGAGCAGGCGACAUCUCAUUUACGGUGUCUAGCGAGGGAGGGCAACGACGGAUCAAGAUCGUCAAGGGAGAACGGCGCCAGAUCUCUAAGUUCUCCCUUUUCUUCUCCCUCCCUCGGCUAAUACUGACUGGUAGCGGGCGACGACGGUCGAAAUCGAUCAUCACCGAUCGAUUUCGGGCAGUAACAGGGCGAAACAACCCUAAUCGACGGUAUUGCCCGGUAGCGAGCGGUCCGCGUACCGAUCUGCUAGCGGACCAGUACGUACCGCCCGGUACGGGCAGUAUUAUUCGAAAUUCAAAUCCUUGCUACAAAUAAACCUGAUUUAAUAUCUUCAGUUACACAGGAUUGUUCAGUGUCUUUUAAGUGUUUCUGGGAGGCUAGUCAGAAUUCUUGACGUUAAAGCAAGGUCAAGAUUAAGCUUAAACACAAAUUUAAAGAAAGUUGGGACUACAAAGAAUGCAAACAGGAAUAAACCUUGUUUCUCUGGAAUUAAAACAAUAUAAAUGUGCAAUAUUAAAUUGAAAGUUUAUAAAUUUGAUGAAAUUUAGUAGCAUAAGGAAAUUAGUAAUAUGGGUAAUUCCUGCAAGGUUAGAAGCAUCUUAUUCAGCUUCAUUAAGCAAAACUAAGAUCUCACAAGUUAUGUAUUUAAAGGAGAGUUGCCAAAAAAUGAUAGCUUUGGCUAGGAACAAGAUGUCUUGAAACUUGGUGACUUGAUACUCAAGAUUGUUCUUUUCCAAUGCUACUAUAUAUCUACAUAUCUAUCCAUGCACUGCAUAACAAUGUCAUAAAUCUUGCUAAUAAGCAACUCACUAAUACCCCAUCAAACUUCCUAACUUUCCCAGCAUUUCUAAUUUGUCCAGAGGUGUUCAGUAUUUGAUUUGAAUUAUCAAACCAAACCAACAAAUACACAAAAGUGUAGUUUGGUUAGGUUUGAAUAUUAGGAAAUAUAGUUUGGCUUGACAACUUUAGAAAAUAAUGACUUUACGUUUGGAUCUGCUUCUUAUGCUUUUGCAAACAUACUAGUACAUAAAUCAUAAUUACAUAUAAUUAUUUACAUUAUAAAUCCAUAUUUUUGUUUACACUCAAUUUUAAAUAUCAAUAUUAAUGGUCCAUUUUUUUGUUCAUCGUGUUAAACAUUAUCAUCUUGGUAUGAAACAUAGAAAGGGGAAUUCUUUCUCAUGAUUUUAAGACUUAUCUUGGUCUCCUUUGCAAAUGGAUUCUUGAUGACUUUUGGAAGUUUUCUUCAUUAAUCCUACUGCAAAAGGAUGGCUAUGUUCAAGGGAUAUUACAACUCAACUAUUUUUUUAAUGGAAAAAAAAGGAAGAAUUAUUGUAGAUACAGAAAAUAGCCAUAAAAAAUCCAGAUUUCAGUUAAAUUUGCAACAAAUUUAAAUAUGAAGAAAUCAAUCAGCAAGCUGACCACAAAAAUGUUGGGAUAUUAUGGCUUGUCGUUGUUGUUGUAUAAACCAAUCAGCAAAUACAGAUUUCAAGUUAAUCUGAAGACUACUAUAUCAAAAUGAAGUAGAAAGUAAAAUUAAAAAGAGGAAGAAACUAAAACAUGCUAAUCUAGAAUUAGAAGUAAUCAAGUCGAGAAUGAGACUUAUGACAUAAGACAUUAGUUUGGAUCUUUAUCUGUUGCAACUGAAAUAGAAGAUAGAUUAGAUAGAAAACUAUGCAAUAGGCCAGAUCUCGGAUCCAUUAAAAAGUAGACACAGUUGUGCAGAAAAUAACACCAUUGAGAGAAAGGAAUAUGGAGAUUAAGGAUGGAAGAAGGGAAAGAGCUUUAUAUUGAAGAUAAAGAAGCAUAUAGCAGACAGAUAACAUACAGCAUAAACUUUUCUUUAACCUAGUUACUGAUAAUACAUAAAAUCUGCACACUCUAGAGUCUAGAUACAAUACCAUAUAUACAGAUAAUAUUUAACAACAAGCUGUUUUCAACAUUAGCAAAGUGCUGCAACAGAAUGAAGAGAAGUUACCACAUAGAAGAACCCUGCUUCUUUGCAAGCAUCAUCCAAUUGCCUAAUGACCUCUAGCAGUUCUUUGUCAUCACCCAUCCUGGGAUCAUCAAUCUUUUCCAAGAAAGCACUGAUAUCUAAAGAAAAAGAAGCAGUAAAAUAAGAAGGUAAACAAUUUAAAAUGUAAAUAAUGAGAACUAAAAGAAUACAAAAUUCACUUAGCAUAAUAGGUCUAAACAUCAGAAUUUGGCAUCAAUUUAACUUAAUAUACUGGAAAUUCUAAAUAGGUAGCAUUACAAUGUCAGGUCUUUCUUUUAUCCAACUACUGUGAAGAUCUAAUUUAUUCUUGAGUCAUGACCUAUACUAAAGUAACUCAUUCUUCAGAAUAAAGUUAGGAUUUUCAUAAUUGUCAUCCAUCUGUUUUGUAUUAAAAUUUAUAACUCAGAUAACUAUCUUUCAUCCAUAAUCUACUCAUGCAAUUACAUAAGCCUGGUAUAUCUAUUUCUAGUUGAAAGGAAUUAGACCCCAAAUUAAACAUUACUGAAUAACUACCAGAAUGAUGCCCGAUUCUAUAACUACCAUUGGAGCAGCUAACAGCAAUUUCCAGUAAUCUUAUUGAACUUAAUAUGCACUAACAUCAAGAUGGAGCCAUAAGUUCUAAGGCUACAAGCAUCAUAAAAUAUUAUCAAUACAGUUUAAGAUACAAGCAGACAAUUUCCAAAAGAAUAAAACAUGAGAGGAUACAUUUUCUUUCUUGAAGAUACAGCUCACAUAUAUUGCUUAAUGUUAUAACUCAGAUAAAAUAAGUCUCCACCUAUUUAUCAUGAUGGAAGAAUUACCCAAAUGAAGCCAAAUUGAUUUGCCACGUAUGGAGCAUCUAAAGCAGCAUCCUCAUCAUCUUAUUAAAUUAGAUGGUGAAUUAGAUAUUUGCAUCAAUGUAUGAGUAACAAACAUCAUCAAUUAUAGUUAUUGAUUCAUAAUUCUAAGUAGAUUUUUUUCCCAGAAGGGAAAAUAUGAAAGGAUAUGCAUUAUCACUAAGAUAUUGCUCACAGCUAGGCAAACAAAGAAAAAAGAUAUUACUCACAAAGUCACUUGGUUCUCUCAAGGUAAUUCAAUAUGGACAGUAACUAAUCUCUGAGCCAGAAAAUGUUAACUACUUACUCUCACCAGUUGUCUAAUGUUUAUACAUGGGACAUCAAAGAAGACUACUAAGUGCCUUUGAUGUCAAAGAAUAUGUGAACUGUAUCUCUUUUUGAAGACACAUUGAGAUAACUAUGAGUAGGUGUGCUUUGCCACAAUUAAUGACAAUGAUCUAAGAAAAAAUCAAAAGAAAGAAAGACAAUGAAAGAAGAAAACCUGCAGCCUGAGUGUGAGAACAAAUAAUAUAUUCAAAUCUGAAAAUUUGCAGCACUACGUCAAUACCUUGAAUGGACUCCUCUGCACCUAGUACGGUUAGGUAACAAUGGAAGUAGGGUUAUGUAGAUACACCUUACCAUAUUCUUGAUAUUGCACCCAGCUGAACAAUUUUUUUACCUAAACUUAUGAAUCAACCUGGGAUUCUUGUUAAAAAGAAUUGUGAAACUCAUUCCUCGUUUAGAAGUCAUAGAACUGCAGUAACCACUACUCAGUUACUUCAAUCAGAGACAUAGAAUAAGCCCUGUUCUGUUUGUAGACACCAAAUGUAACUGAUGUAACAACUCAAUUUAUACCAUGACAGAUUCUACACAAAACUUUUCGAUAAUGAGCUCUUAUGCACAACAUCGAUUAAGGAACUUGUUCACCACCAAAUUCCCAUUUCCAAGCUUUUAAUUAUAAUUUAUCUGAUUAUUAUAAUAUUGUAUUCAUCUCAUUUUAAUAAUAUCUCUAAAUUAAUAGACCUUUUCUUUCUUCACCACCACUUGAGCUACUUCCGAUGGUUCACUCAUUUGACAUACCAAUAAACUCUUUAUACUAUCAAGGUGAUUUAUUGUUUGAUAAAUGAUACAAUAUUAAGUCGACUAGAUUACCAGUCAUAGCUGCAGAAUGGAGGGCAAAAUCAUGAGUAUAUGAGUAUCUAAGCCGUAUGGAAUGGUGACCAAACAGUUACCCCCCUUGCCCCCUCAGGGGUAACAGCAGAAGAAGUAGCCCCGCCAACACAACAGACUAAAACUGCUGCCUGAAAGUUUUAGAUGUUUCUAACUCAUGACAGACCCACCUGUUUUGGAAACAUGUUUUUGGAUGCACAUGCAUUUUAGGGUAUUUAAAAUGAUCGGUAGAAAUUGUAUAAAAAGGCCCCUCAUACUUUUAGGAGAAGAAAUAGUUAUGAUCUAUUGAUUGAUAUCGCUGACAUCCCCCCUCUCGUGUGAGUGACAACUAGCUCAAACCCAACACAGGAACUUGAAUUGAUCUUUCACAUUGUAUCUUUAAUACGUGAACCAGAUAAGAUUUGAACAUAGAAUCUUUCACAAUGAUACAUUCUUUAAUUUUUCAUAAAUGUUAUCUAAAAGCUUACAUCACCUCAAGUAACCUAAAAAAUAACAUAAAUAAUUUUCAUUCCAAAAGCCCCUAGUUUAAGAGCCCAAACAGAUUUUGAAAGAACAUACAAUCGGCGCACUAGUGGAACCUUGGCGAGAACAACUCAAAAACAAGGAUACAUUCUUCUAAUUGAUCCUACAAAUUCUAGCAUCAAGCAUUUAAUACCCACGAUCUUCGACCGAAACAAGCCAGUAGUAACCGGAGACGAGGGGAGACCAGCGAGAUACGGAUGCAUACCUAUGAUGGGAAUAGCCUGGAAAUCGGAACCCAUGGGCAGCAAUCCGAUCGCAAAUCCUUGCGCUGGUGAAGAAGAUAGUGAAGAGGAGCUCUCAAGUCCGUGUCGAGAAGGAAGGCGGCGUUCGAGGAGAUCAGAUUCGAAAGCAACAGGCGAUUGAAGCUGCCUGCCCUAGUGAGAGACUCUCACCAAACGAAACAAGUCCACGUGCUAGAAUCUCACCGAAUCAAACAAUAGCAGGUAGAUGAACACCCUCAUAUCGGAGCCUUACCAUAUCCGGCCUUCAUUGUUUGAAAAGAGCAUAUUAAAGCUUCUAAAUUUUGUUGGUGGGGAUUGAAUUGAAAAGAGAAAAAUCAUAUUUUCAAGUUCCUUUAGCGUUCUAAUCAUUUGUUAAUCUCAAACUAGUUCUCAUGUUCCUGUUAAGUCUUCUGAGAUUGUUGUUAAGAGAAAAAGAAAAAAAAAGAACGUAAAAAUUGUUGAUAAGCUUUUGAGUUAUUGGCAGUGAAAGGUUAAAUAUGAUGUGCAUCAUUUUCUUAUUAGACUAUUUAAUUUAUAUUUAACAAUUUAGUUAUAAACAUGGAAUAAAGCUAAAUGAUCGAAAGAUUGCGUGGAAUGAAAUUGAGAUGUAAAUAUGUGGCAUGAGUAUGAACAGUGUUAGAAUGCAUACGCAGACGUCCAGAAUAAAGGUGACAUGCACAUCCAUGAAUAUUCUACAUGUUAUGGACAUGAAAUGAAAUAAAAUUUUCUAUUACAUACAACACUUCUUUUUAAGAUUGAUCUGAUUGGGUUAUACUCGAAUUCCAAUAAACAAAUCUAUCUAAACCGAAAUGAGCAUUACAAAGAAUCAACUGACUUUUGCAGCAUGGCCUUACUAUAUCAAAUCAGCAUGCCAGUUAUGAUGGGGCGAUCAACCUGCAUGCAAGCAUAAUUUGAUAGAUAGAUCAGCAUCGAUAUAUCAAACCUUAUGUUUAAUCUCCUCACCAUGUUGGGCUCAUCCUUCACACGUCAUGACAAUUUCUUGAGCACUUCGACUUGGUUUAGCUUUCUGGAUGCUAAUGCAUAGUAUCUUCAACUGAUGAAGUGGAAAUCCAGUGUAAAAUGCUGACACUCAGAUGUAUCCAGCAAUGCUCCAGAAAAAAAAUGAAAUAAAUAUUAACAUUUCCUGAUUUAGGAAUGCAAUUUUCUUGAAGUAGAUAGGACAACUACUUUUCUUGAACGAACUUCAGAAAGUACGACGAAACUCUGUGGAAAUUUUGGAGGCAUGACUUUUCUUAGCCUUGGGAAAUCCCGGGAGCUUCAGUAUCCACUUGCUGUUCAUGCUUAUUUUCACCAUCAGCAUCAUCCCUUGACCUGGAUGACCCAGUCUUUCUUAAAAAUUUCAUAUCAAACAUAUCUUUGUUAGCAAUCAUCGUUUCAGAUGGAAGUGCAUCAGGUACAUCAGUCAUUCCAAAAGCAGGUUCUAUUGUCCAUCUGCAAUGCAAGAAGGCUUGUUUGUCACUGGAACAUUCAACAACUAAAGCCUAUCAAAGAAUCAUAUUACUAAUGAAGUUACAUGCCAAUUUCUUGGAUUAUAGUGCACACAAAACAAAUUAAGCUCGAAGACAAAGAGAGUUGAAUACCAGAGGAUUCCUGUUGACACUAAAUCACGCAGCAUAUGAUAAAACAAAGUCGUUCAGUUGAUGGGUAAUUGCAUUAGAUACAAUAGUUAAACAACAAAUCAUCCAUAUAGAUUAUAGAAAACCAAGAUAUGCAAGUGAAAAUGAAAGUUGGUGUUACAUAUUACUUGUUUCAUCAGUUAGACUAUGUUCAGAACUUCAUUCCACGGCAAUAAAAAUUAAAAAUAACAGAAAACAGAAGAAUAAACCUAUAUAAAGAAAAGUUAGGUAUUCGGUUGUCAAAGUAUAGCCACUAUCUUUCUGUAGGAGUAAAUAAACUCAACUUAGGCUCCAUAUCGAACUAGGACUUUGUGUAAACAACUAUCAAACUGUAAAAAAUCUACUUAAUAAGAUUUCUUGUCUAUAGAUUAAUAUCAUAUGUCAAUAAAUAUGGCCUGUCAUUUCUUGUGAGUUUGACUUUACUGCUCUAAGUAAAUUAAUGAGCUUAGCUGCUUAUCCUUCUAUGAAUCAUUUCAUGAAUUGAUAUACUGCUGUCAUCUUUCCAGCAAAAGCACAUACUUUGAGUAAAUUCACAAAUCAAUAGCAGAUAUAAGAAACUCUAAAUAAGUUCUCAGUUAUGCUUCUCGAGCAUUUUCAAACAGCUGACAAUUUUGUCAUGGGUGGGUACCAUUCCACACAAAUGAAUAGCCAAAGUGGGUAAUAUGAUAGUAUUUGUUAGCAGAAGAUGUUUUAGCUAAGGUAUGAGCUAGUCAAUUUAACUCCACACCAUAGCAUGCCAGGAAUUUAGUAGCACAAGAUGAUGGAUAACUAAAGCAUAAGAGUGCUUUCUAUGGUUUCAGGCAACAUCUUUUAAAUGCAUCUUUGUUCUAUAGGGGGCAUAGAUUACAAUAACGAAAGAGUACUUCAAAUCGGGUAAUCAACUUCACUAUCAAUUUAUUACAUAAGAAACUAUCUUUCCAAGUGAUCAAGUAAUAAUUGGAGAGACAUACAUAGACAUGUUAUCAUGAAUACAUACCAAGGGAAGAACUUUGAGAAUAUUGGUGUUGGGAUCAUAAUUGACCUUCAGAAAAACAUGGCUCUUUUAGACCAUAUUAAACAAUUUAAACAAUGCCCAAUUGCCUUUGUGAAUAAACAAAAGGGCUAAGACAUUGAUCAUCCAGAGAAUGCUUAGAAAGAAUAAUUUCAUUUGUACUAUCUAUAUUUGACAAUAAAUAAGGUUUGCACUUUACAGAAGAUUAGUUGAUCUUGAUCUGAUUACUCACUUAUCUAUAUCAACCAAGAAUUGAGAUCAAUCAGCCAACUGCAAUGCAACUUUAGCUAUAUAAGCUAAAAAUCAACUAGUCACUUCACCUAGUGCAAUUGGUUGCAUGGUUAUCUUGAUUGUGAACUAUUUAUGGUUGUCAUACAUGGGUGAGUAUGAAGUGUGACACCGAGCUUGGUUCAUGAUGCAUGAGGAAUAGGAUUAGUUGGCCGUAGUACAUGUUGUAACACUAGGAUCUAUUUUGGUGAUAGGAUUAGGUGUGAUUCCCUCUUCUCAUAUUCUACAUGUGCUAUUACAAAAUCUGGAUAAAGAUAUGUAUGGCAUGUGAUAAGUCUAUGUUGAGUUGUUAUGAUCUUAAUUAUUGUUUUCAUCAGUUUCACAAUUUCUUCUUUUUCUUGUAAUUCUCAUUUUAUAUUUUUUUGAAUUCUUAAACCAUUUUUCACAAAAAAAAGAAAAAAUAUCGAAUAAUAUGUUGGUUGAUUGCAUUCAUCUAAAUUCCAAAGCUCAUAGUCAAUCCUAACUUCAUGAACCUUGAAACUUGAACUAUAAAUAUUCAAUCACUAGACCUCAAGAGAACUAGUAAUACAUGGUGACCAUAGGUUCCUGGUAAGUCUUUUAUUUUGUCUUCGGUAUAGUUAAACGCAUAUUACAUAUGUGACUUUUAGUAUUGAUGCUUCUUGUUUGAAGCCAACUUACAAGUCACCUAGGCUUUAUAAGUGGUGACCCUUUCAAGGUCAAAUUUAUGGUUUCAGAAAUUUGAUAUUGCAACCGUGCACUAAAAAUGAUCUAGUCCUUCUUGAACUGCUUGCAUGCUAAGUUUGUGAUUGAUGCCUGAUUGGAAAUUGUGAUGACCCCCUUAAAACUUAUUGUUACAUAUUAUCUUGUCUUGCCUGAUUUCCACAAUCAGACCUUUCCAGGCUACAAGGAUAGGAAAUUGUGAUGGCAGGUACCUAAUCCAAGCCCAAGUGCAAAUUGAACUAGGACCAUUAUUAUCAAAUUGGUCCCAUCUCCUACUAGGAGUUUGGGUGGACAAACACACAAGGAAGGGAGAGAAAUAACUAAAGUAAAGAUGAUAAGGUAAAAGAAAACUAUACAUACUUUGUAGCGAAAAUGGAGAGAGAAAUCUUAGUCCCUCUGUCUUGAAAACCACCUCAUCUCUUGGUGAUAUUUCUUUCUAUCAAAAACAUGUUAAGGUGCCCGUGAGUGUCUACUAUUCCUCAGUCCCACACCUCUUCUCAAACCUUCUCUAUGAUACCAUUUACUUCCUUUGAGAGAAAAAUGGGUUUACACUUCUAAAUGACAUGCUAGUUUUGGAGUCAUCUAACUUCUUUUAUUAUUUCCUUCAUAAUGUGUAGCUUGGAGUUUCCAGAGCUGAGCAAGUGAAUUUACGAGUAGAAAGAGCCUUGGUAAUAAAAAUUCUUUUUUGAAAAUGCAGUCCCCUAUAAAAUAAUUUAAGAGCCUUGGUAAUAACUUAUCUAGUUUUCACACUGGGCUUUUGCACUCGUAUAACCUUUUUACUCAUCAUUUUCAGAGAUCAAACAUAAUACUACAAAGGAACUUCCAAAUGGAUGAGAUGGAUGCAAUGUGAACAUAAUACAUAGAGAGACUAGAUCAAGAGUGAUGUCGACUGAAAAAAACAAAAAGAUCUAGGGGUGAUCUUUUGGCGUCAUAUAUAAAUAUCGGAGGUAUUAUCCGAGGGAAUUUUAGGUCCAUUACUAUGUAUGUUUAGAUGAUGUGCAGCAGUUAUUAUGUUUAGAGGAUGUGCAGAUUAUCUGAAAACACAGAAAGUUAUGGUAUUGAUCAAUAGAACCUCCAUAUAUGUAGUUAGACACCUAAUCAAUGAUUACAUUGAUAAAAAUUUACCUCAAACACAUUUUGAUUACCCAGAACAAAUUUUUCAAUAGACAACUUCUUACCCCUUAAAGAUCAGAAGGCAUGAUGAUAGACCUAAAUUGAGAAUAUGAUAGAGUUAGUUAAACUGUUAAAGGCUAAUGAACAGUUUAGCAUAACAAUAGGGCGACUUGGACAAAGUUUUAUAAGGUAGUACUAAUGGUAAUUCUCUAGGAAUCAUGGAAUUUAGGCCAUAAUUAUACAAGACCAAGACAUGGCAGACCACAGGGGAAAAAAAUCUAAUAAAUUUGAGCUGUUAACUCCACAAUGCAAAUAGCUUAUGAUAGUUAAAUGAGAAAUGCUUGAUAGACGUCAACAGAAAGUUACAGAAAGCUAAUACAUUCAGUAUCAAUUCCUAAAUGAGACAAAAAGAAUUCAGAAGUCAAAUUAAAUCACCAAGAACAAUUCUAUAAUAUAAAAGGUUACUGUAAACUAACCCCGGUGGGAAUUUGCUAUCAAAGCAGGCUUCAACACGGAGCCACCAUAACAGGACGUUCUUGCCACACUCACCAAGAGGCUCAACGAAGGACUUGUCUUUUAACAGGGCCAAUGGGCUAUCAAUUUCACUGUCACCCACGGCAUCAAGAUCACGAAACCAAUCAGGUUUUCCGUCAGCUUCUUUCCACAACAAUCUCGAGUUCAACACGAAACCACCCCACUCCAUCUUCCCAGGAACUGUUGGCAUCUCGCCCAUGGGAGUUGCACUAUUCUGUGCAUAUGGCAAAGAAUUAGGAGUAUGCCAGCCGAUCAGGUCCCCUGAUGAGUUACAAGCCGGGCCUUGAACGGGCAUCUGAAACUUCUCCUUUCUCUUGUCAUUACCCAUUGUCUCAGUCAUUCCAGAAUGCAUAAGAAUUCCAACUGAGAGAGCACCCAUCCACUUCACCUUUUGAACCUCGUCGAACAGCUCCAUGCUGUGCACAUUGCUAUCAUCGGCGAACACCACAAUCCCGUCCAGCUUCCGAUCCCUCACCACUCUGUUCCAUUAUGCCCAAUCAAGAUCCAACCACUACACACAAAGCAAGAAACUAAAGACAACAACGAAAAUCCUCAAACCUCAGUGCGUGAAGACGCAUCCGAGCUUCGACGAUAUGUCGUUCCAAGAGUCUCUCCGGGAUCCGAUCGAGGAAUGGGAUAUGGAGGAAGUUAAGCUGGGACUCAGCAAGGAUGGAGGAGGUCUCAUUCGAGGCCUCGGGUGACUCCACGACGAUCCAAGUGAGCGGGUAGGGCACGAGCAUGAGGGAGUGGGCGAGGCUGGUGAGGUGCAGUGCCUGGAAGGUCCGGGAGUAGGUGGGCGUGACGACGAUGAGCGGGCGGGGAUUCUUGAAGCCGUACUGCAGCCGCUGCUCGUGCUGGACCCUCUCGAUUAUCUGGUGCGCCAGCAGCACCUCGGCAGGCUCGGGGUGCGGCCACGGCCGGAUCCGGAUCCCGUGGCGGCCGACCACGACGGGGCCGUGAGUCCGGUUAUGGAGCGGAAGCGGGGCGGCCGGCGUGGCGGAGGGCAGCUGUGAGAUCGUCACGGUCUCCGUGCGAGUAGUGGUGGUGGUCGUGGUGGUGGUGGUGGUGGUGGUAGUGGUGGUGGUGGUGGUGAGGAGGAAAGGGGCGGAGGUGUAGAGGGUGGAGGUGGAGAAGAGAAGAAGGAAGACGACGCGGGAGAAGCGGAAGCCGAGCACGAGGCUGACGAAGCAGCAGAGCCCGUGGAGGACGAACCACAGCACGGUGGAAGGGGAUCUCGACGCGCCAUCGGUUGCGGUGCCCACGCCGGCGACCUCCGGCAGAGGGGGGGACGGGCGGUAGCCGUUGAACCGGCGAUUGGUGGCAUGGUUCUGACCCCAAGGUAGCUUCAUCUUUGCGCUUCCAAUUUUGAUCUCCUCUCUUUCUUCUUCUUCUCUCCUAUGACUAAAGAGAGGGAAGAUGGUAAGUCUUGACUUGAGCUACAUUAUUUUCUUUUAUUUUUUUACCUAAAUUACUUGACCCAAACAAUUGUAGUUAUAUUAAAAAUUAAUUUGAUAUUAAUUUCCUUAAAAAAUAGUGAAGCUCAUAAGACUAAAUAAUGAAAGAAAAUAAAUUUAAAAAAUAAAUAUUAGUCUUAAAUAAUUUAAUGAUAAUUAUGACCAGACAUAUUAAUUUGAGUUUAUUCAACGAAUAUUGAAUUAAUAUGAAAGAUUUUAAAACUUUAAAUUUACAAACUUGUGCUUUAUAUCACUAUUCUAAAUAAUAUUCUUAAAUUGAUCAAAAAUAUUAUAUAAAAAAUAUUUAAUAUUUUUUUAAAAAAAAUCGCUUAUAUAAUAUUUAAUGUUUUCAUUAUUGGAUGAUAAUUAAAUUAUCAUUAAUAGUUUAGUGACAGGGAUGGAGAAGGAAGGUAGUAGGUGAAGAGUGAGAGAAGCGGCAUCUCAUGCUGAUCGAGAUGUACGAACGCGGUCUGCCGCCGUUGGCGGAGAGGGGAUAUAAGAAAGAAGCAGCCGGUGGGAGGUCGCCAUCGGCUCGUGAUUGCUUGGAGGGAGACGACGAAUUGGUCGCGCGCGGUGGUGGCUUGUAAGCUGAGGCGACCUUGGACGCUUCUCUUCCCCUUAAUUGCAAGAAGGGCUCGGUGAGUUAGUCGACGAUGAUGAUCUUUGGACGCCGGUCGCUAUAAUUUAAAGGAUUGUUCAUUCGAUCGGUGUUGAUUGUUUGGCGUUCAACGUCGCGACAGAUCAUCUUAGAGAGUUUUAUUUCUUUCCUUUUCCCGAAAGAAGAAAAAACAACAGCAUAAAACGUCACGAGUAAGUUCGAACCGACGUGUCCUAAGAAGUCUCAUGCGUCUUUAGCACUCAUGUGUGGUUACCAAAGACUCAUUAAAUAUUUUAUUUUUUAUUAAAAUAAUUAUAGAAAAAAUAUUCUAAAAUUAUAUGAGUAAAUUCUUUAAAAAAAUCUUAUUCUUUUUUUUUUUUCACGGAACGUAUCUUAUUUUUUUUAAAUGAGAUUACUCUUAAUCUUCUCCCAAUUAAUCGUCAUCCCAUUUUGAUCGUCUCUAUCUCUCAUCAUUGUCCAUCGUCCUUAUCUUAUCAUCCUCGUCUUCGUCCAUUGAUUGUGGUAGGGAAUGUUCCCACCUUGACUACAAAGUGACAGUUGGCAAUCAUCGAGGAGCCGACGUGGAGCAUGUGCAUAGCACGUGUCAGGAGAAAGCACAGUCAACUCAACGGAUGAUGUGCAACUAACUCCGUGCCACCUGAAAUCAUACGAGUCAAUGGUGAGGCACCAGACGAAUCAACCGGCAUCGUUAAGAGCAUACAUACCGGUCGCUCGCACGACUAUGUCGGAUGAAGUAUUAGCGGUCAUUAACAACCCACGUACGAUCGAGUUGUCACCACAUGUGUAAAUACCAAUCCCUUAGCCCGAGGAGGGGGAUUGAAUCUUUUUCACCACAAAAGCCACCUGCUGUUAGUUUGGCAAGUCCCAUAGUCCCACAUCGGGAAAAUCAGACUUGUUGUCUCGUCUUGGAACUAUAAAUAAGGGCCUGGGCUUUGAUGUUAGACACACCACGAGAUGUACCACAGACACCACAAGAAGUACAGCAGGGAAAACCUGCUUAUGGUUUGAAGUCUUCUUGUUUAGGAAGCUCAAGGUGUUUUAUGGCCUAGGAAUAACUUCCUAAGGCAUAUGUAAGUGUCCCUCUUUUAUAGUAGUGAUUUGCUCCUCUUUCGUCCGUGGAUGUAGGUCAAUUGAUCGAACCACGUAUAUCUGGUGUUCUGGUGUUCUUGUCUCUCUUGUUGCAUUUAUUCUUUCCGCUUUAUUGUCUUUGUUUGGUUGCCAAAAUUAUCCUUGUGGUAAAUAUCCUGGGGCUAGCUCUAACAAACUGGUAUCAGAGCCUGGUUCUGGGAUCUUUUGGCAACGAUGACAAUAACAAAGAUUGUUGUCGAGAAAUUCGACAGAAAUGUCAACUUCGGCUUGUGGCAACUCAAGAUGGAGGCCAUUCUGGUUCAAGACGGAGUUGAUUUGGUACUAUAGGGAGCCGAGAGCAUUCCAGAUGAUAUGUCAAAAGAAGAGCUUGCGGGUAUGGAUAAGAAGGCCCGAUCAAGCAUCAUUCUAAAUCUCUCUGAUGAGGUUUUACGGGAGGUAGCUACGGAGACUACGGCUAAGAGCAUGUGGGACAAACUUAAAGCUUUGUACAUGAAGAGGACAGUGGAGAAUCGUCUCUACUUGAAGCAGAGACUGUAUAUGCUUCGGAUGGUUGAAGGUACAUCUAUACUCUCGCAUCUUGAUAAGUUUGGUUCUUUGGUUAUGGAUUUGGAGAAUAUAGAUGCAAAAAUUGAUGAUGAGGAUAAGGCUUUGUUGCUCUUGUGUUCUCUUCCCCAAUCUUUUAAGCAUUUUCGUGAUACUUUGAUUUAUGGAAAAGAAACAGUUUCGUAUCAGGAAAUUAAAUCUGCACUAAAAUCUAAGGAGCAAAUAGACAGAGAUAUCACUGGGGAAAGUAAAAGAAAUCAGGCUGAGGGUCUGGUUGUCAGGGAUAAAAUGGAUAAAAGAGAAUUUGACAGUAGUAGAUCUAAAUAGUCGUGGGAGGCAAGGCANNNNNNNNNNNNNNNNNNNNNNNNNNNNNNNNNNNNNNNNNNNNNNNNNNNNNNNNNNNNNNNNNNNNNNNNNNNNNNNNNNNNNNNNNNNNNNNNNNNNNNNNNNNNNNNNNNNNNNNNNNNNNNNNNNNNNNNNNNNNNNNNNNNNNNNNNNNNNNNNNNNNNNNNNNNNNNNNNNNNNNNNNNNNNNNNNNNNNNNNNNNNNNNNNNNNNNNNNNNNNNNNNNNNNNNNNNNNNNNNNNNNNNNNNNNNNNNNNNNNNNNNNNNNNNNNNNNNNNNNNNNNNNNNNNNNNNNNNNNNNNNNNNNNNNNNNNNNNNNNNNNNNNNNNNNNNNNNNNNNNNNNNNNNNNNNNNNNNNNNNNNNNNNNNNNNNNNNNNNNNNNNNNNNNNNNNNNNNNNNNNNNNNNNNNNNNNNNNNNNNNNNNNNNNNNNNNNNNNNNNNNNNNNNNNNNNNNNNNNNNNNNNNNNNNNNNNNNNNNNNNNNNNNNNNNNNNNNNNNNNNNNNNNNNNNNNNNNNNNNNNNNNNNNNNNNNNNNNNNNNNNNNNNNNNNNNNNNNNNNNNNNNNNNNNNNNNNNNNNNNNNNNNNNNNNNNNNNNNNNNNNNNNNNNNNNNNNNNNNNNNNNNNNNNNNNNNNNNNNNNNNNNNNNNNNNNNNNNNNNNNNNNNNNNNNNNNNNNNNNNNNNNNNNNNNNNNNNNNNNNNNNNNNNNNNNNNNNNNNNNNNNNNNNNNNNNNNNNNNNNNNNNNNNNNNNNNNNNNNNNNNNNNNNNNNNNNNNNNNNNNNNNNNNNNNNNNNNNNNNNNNNNNNNNNNNNNNNNNNNNNNNNNNNNNNNNNNNNNNNNNNNNNNNNNNNNNNNNNNNNNNNNNNNNNNNNNNNNNNNNNNNNNNNNNNNNNNNNNNNNNNNNNNNNNNNNNNNNNNNNNNNNNNNNNNNNNNNNNNNNNNNNNNNNNNNNNNNNNNNNNNNNNNNNNNNNNNNNNNNNNNNNNNNNNNNNNNNNNNNNNNNNNNNNNNNNNNNNNNNNNNNNNNNNNNNNNNNNNNNNNNNNNNNNNNNNNNNNNNNNNNNNNNNNNNNNNNNNNNNNNNNNNNNNNNNNNNNNNNNNNNNNNNNNNNNNNNNNNNNNNNNNNNNNNNNNNNNNNNNNNNNNNNNNNNNNNNNNNNNNNNNNNNNNNNNNNNNNNNNNNNNNNNNNNNNNNNNNNNNNNNNNNNNNNNNNNNNNNNNNNNNNNNNNNNNNNNNNNNNNNNNNNNNNNNNNNNNNNNNNNNNNNNNNNNNNNNNAACAAGUUUUGUUGGGACAUGCCAAGGUGGAGAUUUGUUAGUUUGGCAAGUCCCAUAGUCCCACAUCGGGAAAAUCAGACUUGUUGUCUCGUCUUGGAACUAUAAAUAAGGGCCUGGGCUUUGAUGUUAGACACACCACGAGAUGUACCACAGACACCACAAGAAGUACAGCAGGGAAAACCUGCUUAUGGUUUGAAGUCUUCUUGUUUAGGAAGCUCAAGGUGUUUUAUGGCCUAGGAAUAACUUCCUAAGGCAUAUGUAAGUGUCCCUCUUUUAUAGUAGUGAUUUGCUCCUCUUUCGUCCGUGGAUGUAGGUCAAUUGAUCGAACCACGUAUAUCUGGUGUUCUGGUGUUCUUGUCUCUCUUGUUGCAUUUAUUCUUUCCGCUUUAUUGUCUUUGUUUGGUUGCCAAAAUUAUCCUUUGGUAAAUAUCCUGCGGCUAGCUCUAACACCUGCUAACUUAACCAUCGAAGGACUUCACUUAGGAAUUCCCUCUCCCAACGUCGACCUGUUGUGCAGGAUCUUACUGUGGAUGAGGCCGAUUAAGCUUCACCUCAAGUCGGCCAUGAAGAUGUAGUAGACACCCGAGAGCCAACCCUUCAAUCCGACCUUGUUCCUCUUGCCUCCUUGUUCAAGAAUCCAUAUGGUUUCAGGAUAAAACCGAGCUAUACCGAUCCCCAAGCCAUGACACAAAGGUACAUAACAGAUUGUGCUUUUAUUUUCGUUCAUUCCUAUCGAGGGACUGCUAAAGCCUCACCACUACUUCUCAUCUCAUUAUUGACCUCGAUAAAGGGGAAGGAUGUGGCCAUUGGUGGGGCUUCCUUUCUCUCCUCUCCCUUAAAAUUUUAUUUCGAUUAAAACUGAUUAGGAAUAUGUUAACUUGAAAUUGAAAGCGUUCGGAAGGGCAUAGUGGAUGUAAAGAUUUAAUUUACAGUAAAUGUAAAUUGUAAGAAGUAAAUGUAAACUAGAUUUUAUAGUGAUUCGGUCGUCGUGACCUACAUCUACUCUACCGAUUCCUCUUCCAUAGAGGCCACCGGCAUCCACUAUCGGUCUUUCUUUAAUAGGCGAAGACCAACCGCCUUUUAAACCCCUCUUCUCUUUUUCACAGGUUUAGGAGACAACCUUUACAAGUACUCACUCCUCCUAAAUAGAAUUCUAAACUUAGACUAGAGGAGGGGAUCUCUCAAGUGAUUGCAACAGCAUUUUCUCAUUUUUAAGCUCUCUAUGCUUCUGUAUGUUAACCAGGGAUGAGAGAGGUAUUUAUAGGCCUCAAGUUGAUUCAAACUUGAGCCUAAAAAUAUCUCAUCUCGGGUCAUCGGGGUAUGGGUAGUACCACCACCAGUGCUAGUAUGACACUGACACUGACACUGGGCGGUACCACUGCCCAAUCUGGCGAUACCACCGCCUGACACCCUAACACUGGGUGGUACCACCACCUGAUAGCCUCUUGGAAAUUGUAUCUGGGCGGUACCACCGCCCAGACUGGCGAUACCAUCGGUUGACAUAGUCUUAGAGACUAUGCCACGAUGGUGUCACUUGUUGGGUCUUUAGGUCUUUCAUUGGACCCAACACAAUCCAUACAUGAGCCCAACUGACCCCUAAUUGGGUUGGCCUAAUUUCAAUCUCAAUUAUAUACUAACUAUGAAUUCUAAGACAUUUACUAAACUAAACAAGUCCGUAAGUCUAGUUUUCUUCCAGCGAUCUUCCGGCGAACUUCCGAUGAUCUCUCGGCAAUGGCUCAAUUGGCCCCUAAUUGGGUUGGGCCAAUUUCAAUCUUAAUUAAGUUCUAACUAUGAAUUCUAAGACAUUUACUAAGCUAAACAAGUCCGUAAGUCUAGUUUUCUUCCGGCGAUCUUCCGGUAAACUUCCGAUGAUCUCUCAGUAAUGUUCCAGCGGACUCUCGACAGGCUCCUGAAUUUCACAACGAUCUUCUUGGCGAUUUUCGACGAGCUUCUUUGGCAAGUUCCUGGACUUCUCGAUCAAUUCCGGUAGAACUUCCGACGAACUCUCGAACUCCCAACGAAAUCACGUUCUUGACUCCGGGAUUUCAUUUUGCUUUAUGCCUUGCUAUCAUAGUUGAUCAUGCACACGUAAAACCUACUUCGAUAUAGACAAUUAUUACAAAGCUUUGAAUCAUGUUGUCCGGCAUGUCAUUGGGUCAUCGAUGCUUUAUCUGAUUCUUCGACACAUCGUCAUCUCUUGUGGCCUAUCGCCUAAUCAGCCAGUUGACAUCUGCAACUCCGAUAUCCUUGGUGCAAUAUCCGUUCUUCUUAGCCCGAUGCCCGAAACCAUGGCCCGAAGCCUUUUGCCGAUACGUCGAUCGAUCCUUCGGUGUGACGUCCAAUCUUCUGACAUUUUUCUCCAGCCCAACAUGAUUCUUCUUGCUUCAAGUGUCUCUCCUUGAUCGAAGUUUCCUGCAUCACUCAAAAUGUAUAUCAAAUCAUAAACACUAUCAAUUGGUUUCAUCAUCAAAAUAUGAGAUUUAACAAAUACCUUUUUCAAAGAUAUCAUGAGAGACAAUAAAAGUGAGGGUGUAAGUGAUAACAAUGAAGGUGAACAAAGGCAACGGUGGAGGGCACCAAAAGAGGACGAAUGUGGUAGGCGAAAAGUAAUAAAUGACGGUGAGAAAAAGAGAUGAUGAUUGACGGGGUGAAGGACACGGGUAAUAUUAUUUUUUAAUAAUAAACAACGCUAUAUGGAAAUAAAUAAAAAAAUACUUUAUUAAAAAAAAUUUUAAAACCUUUUUUAGAAUUUAUCCAAAAUAUAUUAUGCAUUUAUAAUAACUUUUUUAUUUUAAAACAAACUAAUUACUUGCACCUAAGACAUGACAUAUCAUCUUAAAAGACAAUACAUGGAGAUGGAAUCUCACUGAGUAGUGCUCUUUCACAUGCAAAUGGUGCCUUAAGACAUCGUCAAAGAGGGCGGAAGGAAAUAAACGCGUACGAUGUAAAGCAUCACAAGCGAAUUCCAAUCAAUACCCACGAAAAGAGUGAAUCUUAUAUUGUAUUUGGGAAUAUAUUUAUAUUUUAAUGUAUAUUAAAAAAAUUUAAGUGGGUGUAAUUAUAGAAUGCCUUGGUAAAUAAUAGAUAAAACUUAUGUUUUAAAUAUUCAGUAACAUAGGUGUUGUUUGAUAAAAUUAUAUUUUAGAAAAUAUAUUAAAUAUCAUGUGAUAAAUUUACCCUUAUAUUAUUUUUAAUAUCUAUUCAAAUUGAAUAUUUUUUAUUUAAAUUAAUAAGUAAAUAAAUAAAUAACUAUAUGUGAUUUUAUAAAAAAAAUGUAUGGUCCAUAUUUGUGACAAAUAAAUAAUAUAAAAUAACUUAUAAAAAUAAAUAAAUAAAAUUUUACCUUAUAAAAUAUAUAAAUAAAUCAUAGAGUUGGAGUUUCUAAUAGGUACUUUAAAUUUUUUAAAAUAUCAUAUUAGCAUCAUGCAAAUAUUAAAACACUAGUGUUACUCUAAGAUAGCUUCAGUAUUUGAGCAUUUAAAAUACAAUAUCUAGGUUAUAUAUAAUUCAAAAAAUAUAUAUCGAGCACCAAUUUAUAUUUAAAAUAUGUAUUGAGCCCUCAAUGCAUAUUUGAAAUGUAUAUCUGAACACACCAUUAAUCACUCAAACAAUUGAGUUCAACCAUAAAGACAUGUUAAA
rnacentral:lncRNA from 1 species